rnacentral:lncRNA from 1 species
CCCCUCCCUACGUUUGGCGUACAACAUCACCAAUUUGCCAGAGCAUACUCAUAGUUGGGUGGGUUCGUCAAUAUUCGUUGCUGCGUUUCGUUACGGAAUUUGAGUUCCAAUAAACCAAUUACACCUUCGUCGUUCACUUGAAAGAUUGUAUUAUUAGAAACUUCAUACAAGGCGUGGCUGUUUGUAUUACCGUCGCUUUUUGCGGAACUUGUGCUCCUUAUGUUUUAGCAUAUGAACUUCCCUAAAUCAAUUAUAGCAAUGUUCGUGCCAUUUUGGGUUUGUUAUUAAAGUUUUUUCUGCCAAGAUAUUUCUCUGAUGCUUGCCAAGUGGUCCUAUUUCUUGUCUUUAUUUGUUCCCAUUUCCUUUCUUUGGAAAAGAGGCGGCAAAGGGCACCUUUUAUUCAUUAUCAAGCUUACAUUCAGUAUUGGACACUCCUUUACAUAUUGAUUGCCAAUCUUUGAAAGCAUAGGACACUGAUCAGUCACCUGUAUGUGCUAAGCUACAGCAUGCCAGAUUUUUUUUGCCCACUACCUUGUCUGAUUUACACUUGCUUCUGGGACACAGAGUUAAGGUUCCUUGGUACUGUAUGUGAUAAAUCUGUAUCUUCAUUCAUGUUUGCUGUUGUGGCAAAGAAAUAUUCUCCCAAUGUCCAGGGGUGUGAAUAAUAUUUCGCGGCGCUGCUUCCUUUACCAGGGUCGGAUUAUCCACCAGAAGAGUGACCUCCUUGCAUCUGAAUUUGGAAAUUGUUUCUGCAGCAACCUGAAAGGCCAUAGCCUCUGCUUGUAAUCGGGAAAUGCCAUGUUUGCCACCUGCUGAAACAAAGAAGUUUGCUUUUACUUCAUUUUCUUCUACUUGUAUAUUUAUUCCAAUGUCUGCUGUGUUUGAUCCUGUACCCUGUAGUUUCUUGAUUCAGGCCUCCUUUGGUUUAUCAUGGGAAUAGGAAAAAUAUAUGAAGUGAAAUGACAUGUACGUCAAAUUCUGUAAGAAAAGAGAUGUGAUUUGGUUUAUAGGAUAUGAUUUUUUCCCCAUUGAAUCUAGGCUAAUGUUUUCUUUUCCUUUGAAUACAAAGGAUUGCCUCAUAUCCUAUACAAGAAUAUGAUUCUAUUUCUACAUAUCAAAGGGCUUCAAAGGAAAUUUUCCUACGAAAUUCCUAUCCUUCAUUCCUGCAAACCAAAGGAUAGUGUUGAGCUUGGUUCCUUGAAGAGCCUGCAUAGUCUGUAUAAGUUGUUCAAGUCUUGCUCUGCAUCAUUUGGUCCAUCUGCUUGGGAGUAUUAGUAAAUAUGCACGUGCAACGCACGUCUCAACUAAUAUUACAAUCAUAUGUAAAAAAGCACAUCGUUUGGUAUAAUUAGUACCCUCAACCUGAACAUAUUCUACUACCGUACAUCCAUUUUAAAUUAUAUAUAUAAUUAAGAGCCAUUUUAUAUGCCAAAAUCUGUUAUUAGAAACAGUAUUGAUCAGUUUUAGAUUUUACGUAUACACCUAAAUUAAGCAAGCAUUCAGAUAUGACAUACAUUUCCAAAGCAACACCGGAAGAAUUCUUAACUCUCAAGAUUGAAGGCUCUACUGUAUUUUCAGGGAUGUGCCUGCAAACUUGUUUAGUCAUCAAUCCACAAUAUAUGCAUUUCUAUUGUAAAAUAAUUCCUUGCAGGGUACACAUGUGCAGCUAACAUGCAUUUCUACAUCACAUUAUUAUUAUUAUCGAUAAUUACUAACUUGUCUAACUUCCUCUCCAUUUCUCAUUUGAACAUGACACAUAUGCAGGAGCAGAGAAGGAGACCCAGAUGGUUACCAAACCGGUGGCGAAGAAGAUGACAAUGACUCAGAGAAGCACCUACAGUGACAGUCAUAUGGCCGAGCUUGAGCAGCACCAAGACCAUACGCCCCUCAAACAUUAAUGAAAAACUUGGUCAUUAUUUUUGUUCCAGCUAACAGGUUAGCCCCACUUGCCCCUCAAACAUUAAUGAAAAAUGUGGUCAUUAUUCUUGCUCCAGCAAACAGGUUAGCCCCACUUACCUUCCCUGCCUCAUCACCAAGGUAGAUAAUAACAUAGUAGUAGCAUACAAAAACCCGGACAUCAGCAGGGCAGGUUGCACACUUUGUAAACUGAUGACAUCAGCAGGGCAGGUUAUUUUCCUGCUAACAUGAAAUCAAUCACCCUAUGCCUUUUAAAAAUGCUUUUCAAUGUACCCUGCAGUACCAAAUUAUCAGUCCAACUAAAACAAGAUCGGUAGGUAAUUCUAAAUUUAUUAUUCAAAUUACCAGCGAGAGAGUUAUCUGACCAUAAACACAAUAUUCAUUAGCUAAUUGACUAUGCGGCGAUAAUCCUCUUACAUUACUGCCCACCAAACUCAGAGAAGUAGUUUAGUUGCAUUACUUCUUGCCAUGGAUUGAUAGCAGUAAGGACAACCGAUAAUCCAAAAUAAUGAAGUUAGAAAAAUAUAAGUUGGGGCAUACUGAUCUUAUGGGUGACUGUAUCCGGUCAAAUAAUGGUGGGCGAGCAUAGAGACGUCUGUCUUGUCCGUUGGGUGAACAAUUGCAAUGGAGAACUAAUGUGGGAGGUGUCCUAGAGCAGUAUCGACACUAUACUGCAGAUAACUUAACCCAUCAGAAGUUCUAAAAUGACCCAAAGAAUCAGAGAAUGAGGAAAUGGAGAGGGCUACAUACAUAUGUCAAGUUGAUACCUGAAACCAGUCAUUUGGAUCACAAAUACUACUCAGUCAGCUUGAACCUAAAAUAAGAACCAAGAUGAGGGAAGCUGCCGACCUUGAAAUAGAAUCAAUAUGAAGAUCAUGUGUCUCAAAAAUCUUGUUUGCACUUGGUAGUGAACUACUUAUUUACAACAAUUUUUCUUUUCUGGUGUACAUGAGAUAUUGGGUAUCGAUUGCUAGCUAACUACACAACACUAACAUAUGUGAGCCGCUAGAUAGAAUUAAAUGCGAACAAGAUCUGUAGGUAAUUACAUCUAUAAUAAUUUGGUGGAAAAAAUCAAGCCAUAAUGAUCCCAUUGACAUGUUAAAACUUGCAUCAAAAUUCAAACAUAGUACAAAUAUCACUUUGAAAAUGAACAUCAUAAAUCCAGAAAAUACAUUGAUCCAAUAGAUAACUCAAAACACAGAGAAUCGCUCACUACUAUUAUUAAUGAGUAAAGGUAAGAAGAAACUCAUUUGCACACUCCGCAAAUAUAAGAAAACUAAUGCAAAAGGGCACUAUACAAGACAUAUAUACCAAUAUUGUAUUGACCGAUCACAAUAAUAAAGCAAUCAGUCUUGGUUUGAGGUGCUUGGUCAGAAGCAGCAGAGCGGGACUGGAGGACGACACAACAUCCAGGGCAGUGGCUAGUUCAUCUGCUCAGGCAGAAGGUCAAGGUGCACCUGACGUAGUUGACUGACGUAGUUCGGUCAGACCUGCAUAUAUAUGUCCAAUUUUCAAACAUCUCCAGAGCAAAACAAACAAAAUGAAAGACUGUACUUCUGAAAUCAUCAUGUUGCAAAAAGAAUAGUGAAAUAUAAUAGCAGAUGGUAACACAUAGAAGAAUGUUUAUUACCUCUUGUCUCAUGUCCUUGCUGACGACUUUGCCAUUUCAAAAAUCUUCCUCCACCCUUCCAUUAGACCGUACUUCUGAAAUCAUUAUGCUGCAAAAAGAAACACCAAGUUCAGCAAGCCAAAAGUUCAUUUCUUCUACUUUACCAAACUAUAAAUUCGUAAGUUAGGUCUCAAAAGUUCAGCGAGCCAAAAGUUUAUUCCAGUAAAUUUUUUUGUGAAAUCCUAUAUCGCUUGAGCAAUGGAUUUGCAUUGUCCAUCCUAUAAUACUGUCCAUAUCUACAUCAAGUAGUACAUGUCUUGCUAUCUUGUAUUGUGAUGGAUUAGUUCUCACUUUUAUCUAAUCGAUGCAUCUGUCGCCAUUUAAUAUGAAAUUCACAGAGAUUAGCUGAUGUAUUAUUCUUCAAUUCCUUCUCCCACAUAUUACAAUUUGGAAUGCAAUUGACUCCUCGGAAAUUUGAUGAACAGAAAAAAUGUUGAUUGAAGAGAGGAAGGGCGUGUGACGUACAGCUUGUUGGCAAGGGCUGGACUUCGUCCUCUGCUUGGACCAACACGGCGGAUGCAUGAGGAGUGGAGAGAGCCCGCAUCCGGCGGAAGCAAGGCAGGGGGUCAGAUAGCACCAUGGUGCCCUGCCCGCGUCACCGUUAAGCCAGGCAGCAAGCCAGCAACUCGUGUCGGCGACCCUCCUGCGGCAACGUAGUUCGUGCCUCAACGCUGCUGCACCAAGCGUUUGCCGCGCGCCCGUGCCAAGCCGACACAAACCAGGUGCCCCGUCGUCGCCCUCCUUGGGGAUGGCCGUAGCUUCGCCCCGGCACGCCCUCCGGCGGGGGCGGCGAGACAGGGAGGAGUUAGGGAAGGGAAGGGGUGGUGGCUAGGGUUCUCCCCCGAGACGCAUGGAGGCGCUGGCCCUAGCUUCGCCCCGGGGCGCACUCCGGCGGCGGCGGCGAGACGGGGAGGAGGUAUAGGGGAGGGAAGGAGUGGCGGCUAGGGUUCUCCCCCGAGACUCAUGGAGGCGACGUGGUGGUUGCGAAGAUGAGAUAUGGAGAGCCCUUUGCGUUGACGAAGCGUUGUACGCGGACGCGCGUGGAAUAUUCCUUCGCGGGUGGAGUGCGUUCUGCUAAAUUGCUAAUUGCACACAUAGCUCGGGAUUUAAUUAACUGUAUCCAUUAGAUUUUAUUUAGUGGGACUAAUCUGACGAUGGUAAUUAGGUUGGGUACAUCUGCGGGUGGCUUAAAGAAAGAAUUAGUUUGAUUGUUUAAUAGUAGUAUAGAUAUAGAUUAUUUAGUGGGACUAAUCUGACGAUGGUAAUUAGGCUGGGUACAUCUGCGGGGUGGCUUAAAGAAAGAAUUAGUUUGAUUGUUUAAUAGUAGUAUAGAUUUGAUUUCCUGCCAAAGAGGUUGUCAUUCCUGGUUUUCCAAAUAUACAGUAAAAAUGUCAUAAUAAUCUUUUAAAUCACUACAGAUACUAAGCUCCCACGAAAUGGGAGCAUUUGGUGCGUGAGGGCUAUGUCGGCUAGCGGUAAUUUAUUUUUUUGACCAACUGUUGGCGGUAAGUGGGCCUGGUUUUGGGAUAGUCGGUUCUAACUGGGCUUGUUCAGGUGCCUCAUGGCGUGCCUGUUUUAGCUAGGAAUGAAGUUGGUUCAGAGGUGUCAAGUAGAGAGGUUAGAUCUUCUCUGCUCUGUUGGAGCCUUUGCAAUAAGAAAGUGGAUUAGGAGAGAGAGAGCUCGCAGACGAUGUUCCCUUCCUUCAGGAUCAGCCUCAUGAAAAUCUUAUAUUCCCUGAGGAGGAUUUUUUUUACAGACCAGAGGGGCUAUCUAAAUCCUAAAGUAAAGGCGAGCGAUCGAAGUAGAAGUCGACCGCCUAAAAAAAGACGUCUGUAAAAGAACUUCGACUUCUAUUAGUUUCUUUUCUUCUUUAAUGCAAUAGCUAUAGUUUGAUAUAAGAAUCCAUUUCGAAAUACCUCGACUUUUUCAGAACAGGUCCGAGUCAAAUAGCAAUGCAGAAAGAAAAACAACGACUGGAGUGGGGGAGUCAGAGUCGAAAAGAGGAUAUCGUCCGAUUCUCCUUCUAUUGAUUCUUUUCCGAUCAAGAUGUUAUCCUACUAGUUUUUUCUUUGCCAAAUUACCCGCUGGCGUUACUACGAGGAAACUGUUAUGAUACUAAACCUCAUGCCCUAUCGACCCGUCAAUUUUGGAUCCAAUUCGGGAUUUUUCUUGGGAGGUCCUGCGGCAAAAUAGCUCGAUGCCAGAAUGAUAAAAAGCUUAACACCUCUUAUUUGACUUUUUCACUAUUUUGCUAGAAAUCGAUCACUGAUCCAAUUUGACUACCUCUACGGGAUAGACCUCAACAGAACCAAUAUGGCUCCAACCUGGGGUUGGUCUCCUCCCCUUCCAUGGCGGCUGCGGGUGCGGAUGGUGGUCUGUUCCCGCACGGCCGUUCCCCUUCUUCCUCGCGCCCCCGCCCCGCUGGGUCUCCUGCCUCUGGUGGCCGCGGCUCUACACUUAGCGGCUCGGUGAAGCUCAUGAAGAAGACGGCGGUGCGCAAGGUCAGCGCGGAGGCGGUGCGCGCGAUGGAGCCGCUGGGGGCGCAUGUCACUCCGAGGCAGUCGGUCAUGGCGCUGGCGGCCCCGACAGCGCCUCCAGUGGACCAGCUGCUGCAGGACGCCUCCAAGACGGUGCUGAUUUUGAAGGCCAAGCGCACGAAGAUGGUGCCAGCGGCGCCGGUGCGCACCAGCUCGCGUUCGAAGGGGGCCAAGGGCAAUAUGCCGUCCUUGCAGAGGGCGCAACUCCUCCAAGCCCAGAAGAACAUGGAGAUCUCAGNNNNNNNNNNNNNNNNNNNNNNNNNNNNNNNNNNNNNNNNNNNNNNNNNNNNNNNNNNNNNNNNNNNNNNNNNNNNNNNNNNNNNNNNNNNNNNNNNNNNNNNNNNNNNNNNNNNNNNNNNNNNNNNNNNNNNNNNNNNNNNNNNNNNNNNNNNNNNNNNNNNNNNNNNNNNNNNNNNNNNNNNNNNNNNNNNNNNNNNNNNNNNNNNNNNNNNNNNNNNNNNNNNNNNNNNNNNNNNNNNNNNNNNNNNNNNNNNNNNNNNNNNNNNNNNNNNNNNNNNNNNNNNNNGUUUACAGUUCUAGAUGAUUUCUCGGACGAUCAUUUGCAUGAGGUGUUGGAUGCGAGCGGUGUGGAUCCCUCCUGUGUAGGAGGGGUUAGCGAGUUGAUUUCGCUGGUGCGCGCUAAGGAGUUAGCGCAGGCCGCGAUCGCGGCUGCCGCUGCAGAGCGUGCUGAGCAGAGACCCCGGGUACCCGAGGGAGGGGACGCCGUGGUGAUCUCUGUGCCCGAAGAGGGGGGACAGGCAACAGGGGUUGCUCCCUCUCCCACGACUUGCAAGGGCAAGACGAGGCGAGUGGCUAAAGCGGUCACCUCCAGGGGUGUCCGGCUCCGGAAUCGCGUGAUCUAGAUGCGAGCUUUGUUCUGGAAUAUCCGUGGCUUCGGUCAUGUGGGGCGGCGUACCCAACUUAAAGAGUACAUGCGCAAAGAGGACAUAGAUAUCGUAGGGCUUCAAGAGACGAUUAAGGCAGAUUUUCGUUUUCAUGAACUGCUUGCGAUCGACCCCUUGGAGCGCUUCGAGUGGCAGCACGCCCCUGCUGUAGGGCACUCAGGUGGCAUGCUGCUGGGCUUGAGCUGAGCCCUGUACGAGGUUAUUGACUGGGACGUAGGCUCGUUUUAUAUCGCGGCUCAUUUCCGUAUUCGUGCCUCGCUUCGCGAGUUAGCAAUCAUACAAGUCUACGGACCGACCGAUCACUCUCGUUCGGCGGAGUUCUUGGCGGAACUCCAGGCCAAAGUCACCACGAUGUCCGCGGCCACGCUCCCUGUUUUGGUGGGUGGAGAUUUCAACCUUAUCCGAUCAGGAGCCGACAAGAACAACAUCAAUAUAAACUGGCCUAGGGUGACCAUGUUUAACUCCGCCAUUGCUGCCAUGGCCCUAAGGGAGGUGACCAGGUCAGGCGCGAGGUUCACUUGGACUAAUAAACAACUCGAUCCGGUGCGCUCAGUGCUGGAUAGGGUGUUCAUGUCGCCGGAAUGGGAAAUGGGCUUCCCUCUCUGUACAUUGGUCGCAGAGACACGCAUAGGUUCUGACCAUGUACCGCUCGUAUAUGCCUCGGGGGAGGACAGGGUGCGACACAGCCCGCGCUUCUUCUUCGAAACAGCCUGGUUCGAAGUGCCAGGCUUCGAGGAGUUUUUCAGGGCGAAAUGGCGGGCAUGCGUUGAUUCAUUAGGAACCCAGAGAGGCCCGAUGGAAUUUUGGAACACGGUGGGGGGCCGGAUCAGGGCUAGCCUCAAGGGAUGGGGCGCAAACUUAGGGAGGUCUGACAAAGAGUGCCGCGCCGAGAUCCUUGCGGAAAUCGCAAGGAUUGAUGCACUGGCUGAUGCUAGGGCCUUCUCAGAGCAGGAAUGGGCCCAUCGCUACGCCCUGGAGGGCUAGGUAGAAGCGUCCCUGCGCGCGGAGGAAGAAUACUGGCGUAGACGAAGUGGUCUGAAGUGGGUUCUGAAGGGCGACGCCAAUACUAAGUAUUUCCAGGCUUAUGCUAACGGGCGUCAUCAGAAAUGUUCCAUCUUAAGGUUGCAAUCAGAGCAGGGGCUUCUGUUGCGACAGGAGGACAUCUCCAGACACAUUUACGAGUUCUACAUCAAUUUGAUGGGCUCGUGCGAGGCCCAGGGGGCGGGGCUCCGCGAAGACGUUUGGGAGGAUUCGCAACGUGUGUUGGACUGUGAAAACGAAGCGCUAGGGCUUGCCUUUCUGUCAAAGAGAUCGACGCCGCUCUCCUCAGUAUGAAAGUGGACACGGCGCCAGGACCAGACGGUUGGCCGAUGGCGAUGUUCAAGCGCUUCUGGCCUUUGCUUAGGGGCCCCAUUUUCGAGAUCUGCAACGGUUUCAUAAGGGGGAUGGUUGACAUCUCGUGCCUCAACUAUGGCGUCUUAACGCUCAUCCCGAAGGUCCAAGGGGCAGACAAUAUUAGACAAUUCCGACCGGUCGCGCUCAUUAACGUGCCUUUUAAAAUCUGUGCAAAAGCGUGCGCCAAUAGACUAGGUCCGAUAGCUCAUCGCUCGAUUAAUCAAAACCAAUCUGCUUUCAUCCGAGGACGCAACAUUUUAGAGGGACCGCUCGCCCUGCAAGAGAUCGUUCAUGAACUAAAGCGCACUAAGGAAGCGGCGGUGCUGCUGAAACUCGAUUUUGAGAAGGCAUACGACCGUGUGAAUUGGGAAUUCUUGCGGCAAGUGCUUAUUGGAAGAGGCUUUUCUGACGUUUGGGUCCACCGUAUUUUGCAGUUGGUGUCGGGAGGCCAAACUGCAGUCUCGGUGAACGGAGAAAUAGGGCAUUUCUUCCGGAACAAACGCGGGCUCGGGCAGGGUGAUCCGAUCUCACCUCUCCUUUUCAACUUCGUGGUGGACGCUCUGUCCACAAUGCUUCGGAAAGCAGCCGAAGCAGGCCAUAUCCAAGGGUUGGUAGGCCACCUCAUUCCAGGGGAAGUGACGCAUCUGCAAUAUGCAGAUGACACGCUGCUUUUGUUUUGCCCUGACCACCACAGCAUUGCGUCGGUCAAAGCGAUUCUAAUUUGUUUUGAGCUCAUGUCAGGGCUUAAAAUAAAUUUUCAUAAAUGCGAGGUGCUCACGAUGGGGGUUGAGCCGGAGGAAGGUAAACAUAUAGCGGAUUUACUCAACUGCAAGGUGGGUAAAUUCCCGCUGACAUACCUAGGCCUUCCAGUUGACAUCAAAAGGCCGACGAUAGAGGAUUGGGAACCUCUAUGUGCUAAGGUGAGGGGUAGGGUGUGCCCUUGGAGGGGUAAAUUCCUCUCAAAAGCGGCCAGACUAGUUCUCACGAACUCAAGCCUCUCUUCCCUGCCUAUGUUUGUUAUGGGCCUUUUUUUGCUUGCAGAGGGGGUGCACGCAAAGUUUGACACGCCGCGGUCUAAAUUCUUUUGGGAAGGAACUAGCCCGAACCGUAAAUACCAUAUGGUCAAAUGGGCUUGGGUGUGUCGUCCCAAGGACUUGGGGGGCCUCGGGAUCACCAACUCUAGAUUGCUUAACAUCGCUAUGAUCUGUAAGUGGAUUUGGAAAAUUGCCCGGGGGCGUCCGGACUCUGGGUUGAUCUCCUUAAGGCCAAGUACUUCCCCAACGGGAAUUUCUUUGAAGGUAGAGCAAGGGGCUCGCCUUUUUGGAAUGAUCUCCAGACGAUCAAGUCGGCCUUUGCCUUGGGGGCUAAGUUCUUGAUUGGAGAUGGGCGAUCGGCGCGAUUCUGGACAGAUCUUUGGAUAGGCGCCCGCUCCUUAUGGGAAGAAUUCCGCGACCUGUACGACAUUGCCGUAGACCCAGGCAUGUCGGUGGCUGACGCGCUGCAUACGACCCCUCCGGAGAUUCAUUUCAAACGCGAACUUCAGGGGACAGAGCAGGCCAGUGUUGUAGCCCUGCGGCAGUUGAUUGACCGGGUGGUGCUCUCGGACCAACCGGAUGCGGUGAGCUGGGCGCUCACCAGCUCUGGGAAGUUCUCGGUCAAGUCUUUAUACCGCAAGCUGUGCCAGGGGCCGUCGCAGCUGGUGGUGGCAGGGCUUUGGACCGCGCGGUUGCCACUGAAGAUCAAACUAUUCCUUUGGCAAAUGUUCUGCGAUAAGCUUCCCACUUCCCUAAACGUGGCCAAACGGAAUGGGCCGGCCAAUGGGCCUUGUGCGUUGUGCAGGGACCCAGAGGACGCGAACCAUGCAUUCUUUCGGUGCCCCUUAGCACGGUUUGCGUGGAGCGCAGUGCGGUCCGCGACUGGUGUCCAGUGGGACCCACGCUCAGCUGCAGAGCUUAUCCAUAUUUUAGGUGCGCUGCAAGGCUCAACGAAACGAGUCGUGUGGACCUGUGUCGGAGCUCUUCUAUGGUCCUUGUGGCUAACUAGGAAUAAACUCGCGAUCGAGGGGACCUUGCCAACACAUCCGGCUAAUAUCAUCUUCAAAUGCAAUCUUCUUUUGCAGCAGUGGAGUCCGUUGGGGAGGCGCAAGGAUGCUGAUUUGAUCAAGACAGCGCAACAACGAAUUCUGCAAGUGUAUGCGGCGGCUAGGGAGCCAUGACUAUGGUGGUCGACGUAGUCUCUUUUGAGUGCUUGACGAGCCUGCGUGCUCAGUACGGGUGAUGCCUUGUAACGCGACAGUAACUUUAUCUUCUCCGCUCGAUCAUGGUAGUGGCCCGAUGGAGCUUUUGGGUGAUGUAAGACUUAUUGGUAUGACUCUGCCGUUGGAGCUUUAUUAAUUUAAAGCCGAACGCAUCUGGCGUCUUCGUUCUAAAAAAACUGUUGAGUAACGGGGCCUGUUUUAGCGUACGCUUCGCUGGGUGCCUCUGUUUUGGCGUUCACUCUGCCGAUAGUAGGCGGCGGCGGCUAUGGCCUAUGGGGGCGUGACCUUUUCUUCUAUUCUCAGAGGAGGGCGACGGUGUUCUUGCUGGCUGCGCGACGUAGGGCUGCAUGAAGGUAGGCGGGUGGAGCUCUCGAACGGCGGAUGUGGAUGAAGACAUCCUCAGCGGCGACGGGGAUCAGAUCCUCUCUCUCUGAAGCGGCGGCGGCGGCGGACGGACGCAUCCUCAGCAGCGCCGCAGAAUCAGGUCACGGCGCCCCUCUCUGUUCCUGAGUCUGCUCUUCUCGGUCCUCUCAUUAGAAUGGCGCACGGCGGGGGCUGGUCGAGGGAUCGCCCAGAACGUAGUGAACUGCCUGGAACAUGGCGAACUCCGGUGCCACCCUAUAGUCAACUUUGUUAGAAAUUUAGUUCCAACAAACGUUGGCGCUGAUCCACCCUUCAGACAUGCCCGCGUCAGGUGUGCCUCUUUCCUCAUCUAUGUCGAUCUGUAUAUAUGUUCGUCCCAGCCCCCAGCUCUAUCAAACUCACACACAACAUCCUAGCAUGUGGCUCCUCUUGUUGAUGUUUUUUUUUCCAGAAACGAUUUAAUUCUUGCAUUGUCGCAUGGAGCCACAACUCUGUUCAUUUUUAUUGUUUCUCACGACCACCUACUUGCUACUUUGUUGGGCUCUUGAUUAUUGUUGCAGCUUAUGCAUGUAUGCCGGCCAAGUGCUUGAGAAAAUGUUUAGCAAUUAUUCUAAACAUAUUUCAGCAAUUAGCGAUGCAACUUCUAACAACUGAGAAAAUAUGAUUUAUUUGUCAUCGGCAGAAAAUAAAGUGACAUCCAGCAUGAUUAUUAAGUAAUUCUUAUCCUUGCGCCACACAUUAAAAAUAAAUCGUAUUGAUGCAGCGCCUGCAGCAGUUGAGAUAGGCCGGAUGAUAGGACCAACUACAAGACCCCUAUGAUAUGUGAGAACCUGUUUGGAGGUCUCACAACAUAAUUUUAUAAUGAACUCUUUGAUCUGCUAGAAGUUAAUUCUUUGAGUACUUCACUUUUUGUUUUAUAUGUAAUCCUAUUUACCCAAGGAAGCAUAAGGUUAUUUUCAUCAGCAGUUGUGCAAUUAUGAAAGGAUUCAGUUUGUUUAUGCUUGUCCUGGAGGAUAACAACUAGGCGUAGAUAUUAUAGAAUCAUCAUGUUCCCCAAACUAUGUCAAUACUCCAUACUUCCAUAGUAUCCAUGAAAGAACAUGUUCGGUGGAAAUUUGAUAAUGUUAAAGGUAAGGCAAUUUAUCACACUGCUCAAGAAAAGUAAUGGCGUUCCAAACUUUUCUAAAGGCAAGCAAUUUCACUUCAUCCAAGUUAAGACACUAUUUCAUAAUUUAGAAUAUUAUAAGUUGUUUUAUUAAAAAAACUCAUCUAUAUCAUAUCUGAUAAGGCAUGGUCCUGCUUCGCUAUAAUUUGAUAAAGUAUGUUUUGGUUGUGUUUUUAUUACAUUUCAGUGGAAUACCUACCAUUGGGCAAGCAUGGCCAGCGACCUUCAACUCUUGCUAUGUAUGAACAUGAAACCUGAGGUUAGUUGUGUUAUUCAUUAAAAGUCUUCUUGGAUUAGUGAGAUAACUUCCCAUCGGUGUUUUUUUUUACUAAACAAAUGCUGUGUACACUUGCAGACACGUGAGAGAAUUUUGAAAAGUGUUCCUUGCUUCAAAGAAUUCAGUGUUUCAUGUAUGCAAUGGUUCACUGUUAGUUCGUCAAUGGUUUUAUGUUUUACCCCUUUCCAGCUUUUUCUUUGUUUUCCAGCUAGAGAGGAAUGUCUAUGCUACUUGUUUUAAGAAUAUAUUUAUGCAAGCUUCUGAAUAAUGAAUUCAGAAUACUUUUGUACAAGAUUUCCUUGUUUUCCAGUGUUUUGUCUGCUAUCUAAGUACACAUGACCAUGAGUCCAUGACUAUCAGCUAUAGUGGUUGAAAUUGAAGCAAUUUAGCUUGAGAGGCAUAUUUUUUUCACAGAAAGUUUAUGGCCACGGUGCUAAUACUCCUAUCUGAAACAGUAGACAAGACCUCAACAAAUAAAAAUGUAUUGAUCAGUUACAGACCAAUAAAAAGUGUAGAACAGACAGACAACACGAAAGAUUCACUUGAUAUGCAUCAUGGAACCACAACCGCAAAGAUACUGCCAAAGGUGGAAUGGUUCAAGAAGAAGUCUGGGCGACAAGAAAAAGAUUAUGUAGUAAAACGCGCAUUUCCACUUGAUACAUAUGAAAAAAAGGGCGCGGCAAGGCACGCGUUCGCCUCUAGUAAAUUACUAAGCUUCCUAGGAAUGGAGCCUCCUGGGGAAUCAAGGAGGUUUUUGCCUUCGUGGCCCUACAUGUUAGGGAGUGGCUCGGUUUUGGGCUGCGGUUGGGCUUAUUAGCAUAUGAAUGCGGCACUCCUACGUUGAUUGUUGAUUGAUAGACAAAUCUUUAAAUUCAUGGACGUUUUUUUAAUUCAUAAAUAUUUUUAAAUUUUCAUAAACAUUUUUGAAAUACGGGGAUUUUUAAGCUAAGAACAUUUUCUAAAUUCCUGAACAUAUUUUAAAUUUGGAAACAUUUUUUGAAUUUCAGAUAACAUUUUCUGAAAUUCGCUACUCUCUCUUGCACAUACUAAGUGUACGUCAAUUAAUUUGGAUUGGAGGGAGUAACAUUUCUUAAAUUCAUGUUUUUUAAAAUCCCUAAACAUUUAAAUUCAUGAAUUAUUCUACCUAGUUUAGUUUUCCUUUCUCUUUGUUUUUCUGCUUCGCUUCCCCGGAUGGGUUGGGACCCACUAGGGCAACUGCGAGCGAACCGAAUCAUGGGUCCUUGAACAUGCAUAUUUGGUCGUCCUUCGGUGCACUAUGCGCUUAAUAGGAUGCCCCAUGUGUGCAAGUUAUUACGCCGCCAGGGGAGGGGGAGGGGCGAACUGGUUUUCUACUUCGUGUGUUUGUGAGGGUGUGAAGCUAGCUUGCUGGUUCUCAGGUUCUGUGAUGAGUGGUCAGGUCACCGCUUUCUCCGUCAUCCUUGUUGGGCACCUUANNNNNNNNNNNNNNNNNNNNNNNNNNNNNNNNNNNNNNNNNNNNNNNNNNNNNNNNNNNNNNNNNNNNNNNNNNNNNNNNNNNNNNNNNNNNNNNNNNNNNNNNNNNNNNNNNNNNNNNNNNNNNNNNNNNNNNNNNNNNNNNNNNNNNNNNNNNNNNNNNNNNNNNNNNNNNNNNNNNNNNNNNNNNNNNNNNNNNNNNNNNNNNNNNNNNNNNNNNNNNNNNNNNNNNNNNNNNNNNNNNNNNNNNNNNNNNNNNNNNNNNNNNNNNNNNNNNNNNNNNNNNNNNNNNNNNNNNNNNNNNNNNNNNNNNNNCAGACGUCGGAGAUCGAAACCAACAUGAACACCUAUCGGAGCGCCGUUGUAGCUGGGUCUUUGUAAGCCUGACCUCAAGGUUGGGGAGCGACUAGGUUGAGAUAUUGGAGUCUUUUUUAGGACAAAAAAAGUUGGAAUGAGGGUGAUUUUGAAAGGUGGAGACAUGAGCGAAUUCAGUUGUGUGGUCUGAUGGUCAUGCCUACACGUGCGAGCUAAGUAGGGAAGUUAGAUGAAAGGGGCGUCAGUUUCGGUGUAUAUGGUGUAAUGAUUAAUUCGGUUUAUGUAGGAUGAAAACCGGCGAUAUGCCCGAACACAAACAACUAGUAAUGGAAACACCGAACCGAAAAUCAUAAACCGAAUAAAUCGGGAAUACCGGUCAACUCAGUUUAGUUCGGUUCUUUAAUUUUUUGGUGAAACAUUGCUCACUUUUGACCGUAAGAGCCUGAGACUCACGAUCGAGGAACAGUGCGGCAAAGCACACGCCACCCAAAGUGGCUUGAGGAUGAUUAGAAUUGAGCAAAGCAUGAAUACUAGCAGGGAUUGUGCCAAAGGGAUUCAGAUCUAACAUGCCCUGGUUCUGAAAACCAUGCACCUUCGGCAAAAGGGCAUGCAAAGAAUGGGCGCAAAUCAUCUUCCUCUGAAUCACAUCUAGCACAAUGUUGCCAUUUUAUGCAGCAUCUCAGCUGUCGGCAUAAGGGCAUGGCCAACGCUUCAAGUUGGACGGAUGCUCCAUAGAAAAAGCUGAUGAUGUGGAAGAGAGAGGGAAAAAGGCUAGUGCUUGAAGAGAAGAAUGGGAUCUUGCAAAGGAGCCCGGUGCUUCAUCCAAAAAAAGUAAAAUAAAGCAAAAGAGAAGAGCUGGUUGUGAGAGAUGUGAUGCAUGUGUAAAGGAAAAAGUAAGAGAGAUACUAAGGGUGUGUUUGGUUGCAUUCUCAACUCAGUAUAGUUGUUCCCUCUUCAUGCAUGCUCAACCCAACACCCCUUUUCAUGCAUGUUCCUAGUGUAUUUGUGCUAAGCUAGUGUGGACUCAUGCAUCCUCCAUACACUCUACCAAACACCUAAAAGUGGGUCGAGAAGGGAACUCUUGGGCUCAUGCACCCUUCAUACACCCUACCAAACACACCCUAAGAGCAUGAACUAUGGGGGCAUCACCCCCGUGUGGUCUCAGCCUCCACCUAAGAAAAAUAAUAUUAAAGCCACCGUAUGAAUAUAUCACACCCAAUGGAAAUAACAUCUUCUAGUGGUCCACCUAUCUUCCUCUGCAUCACCACCUUUUUACUCCUCCUCCUCUCGCUCUAUGCUCUCUCUCUUCCAUUCCCUCCUUUUCUUCUGCUUUUUCAGCGAGGAAGCCGGUUCCUCUGCAAGAGCUUGUUUGGCUCUGCAAGCGACGAUCUUUUUGCUUUUCUCCUCCUCGGCGACAGCUCCUCCGACAUGGAUCCAUGAGGCAGCGGUCCAGCGUGGAGCGAUGGCCAUGUCCUAAAAAAUGAUGGAGAUGUGGUCCGGUCAAGCUAUGGCUGCUUUGGGGAGAGAAAAUUUAUACCGUGGUUUCAAUCUACAUGGCAGAUGAGGCAGCUACAUGGUGUUGCCUCCAUUGUACAAGCCCCAAUGCCCUAAGCUGUCGGUUGUUUAGGGGAUUGUCGUCGCAUCACUUGCUUGCUUGGUGGGCAAUGGGGUGCUUUGCCUAUUUGUGCUGAUUGUCUUGGCACGAUUCGUACGUCUUUGCCAGCCGAAAAGGCCACUGCCGAAUCCUGACGCGUGGUCGACACUUAGAAGUCGAUAUGGCUGUUCGACUUGAGGCGUGGCGUUUCUCUCCGCGUGUAUCUUGAGGCCCCGGUAGUAGUAAUUUUCCUUUUUUUUUUUGGGUCCGUCUUGUAACUGAGCCUUCAGGCUCCUGGUAUGAAUGAAUGCCGGGACGCCCUCCGUUGGGAGGGCUCAAGUUUGCCAGAAAUAAAAUCAUGGACUGACCUGAGAAUAAAAAACAUGCUUUGAAUGGAAAACACGAGCUUCCAUGGCUGCAACGGUCGUGCUUUGAAUGGAAAAACAGUCCUCUGAGAAUUGUCGUUAGGAAGGCAUUCAUCCUGAACGUCGGUUGCUUUGCUUGAUCUGACUGGCUGACGACGAAGGAAGGGUGCAGACGGCCGCCGUAGAUCGUACUCCAGCCUGGUUAGCCAGCUGGUAACACGGCCCCAUCACGUUCGUAAGCGACUGCCGACUGAGGACUAUACUAGUCUACCACUCCUGAAUAAAUAAACAAUUUCCACGAUGCUUCCUUCCAAAGCAAAGCACUACGCGCCCAUAUCCCAGGAGCUCUUUUUUUUUUUCGGGGAAGAGCACAACGUGUCCGUGUCGGUGUCGGUGCAAACACAACCCCCACCAUAUACAAACAUUUUAUAGUCCUACUAUUAUUAUCAAUUGCCCCAUUGAUUGAUCGGAUAUCUCUGUAAUUAAAGGGAUCGUGACAAGAUUGGUUGGCACUCCCUGUUACUCGCCUCACACCAUGAGUUAUGUUCAUCGCACGUCGUCAUCAUGAUAUAAUAGCUGGCUCAACCAACAUGCACUAGCGGCAUCUACUUGAGCCAGCACUAGGUAUAUGCACUACUCUAGCUAACCUCAGAUAUUAUUUGUCUUUGUCCUCCUAACUGUCAGCGAUUAGCACCACCAGCUCAAAGAGGGCAAAAUUAUCACCAUUAGCGGUACCGCAGCUUCCAGGUCACGUGUACAUGUGGUAGGUACAUGCAAUGGAUGUUGUGGUGCCACGUCCUCUCCUAUGGUAGUUGGGACAUGUACAACAUCUAAAAGGGAAAUUGGGACAUUGAUAAAGAGACGUAUCUUAAAUUCGCAAUAUUAUGAUGAUAACAAUAAAAAAAUAUAGUCUCAUCGAGUAUACUAAAAAAUGUACUAAAGCAAAGACAAGUAAUAUGGAUCGAAGAGAGCACAGUGAGUUGCCUCUUAAUCGAAUCUCUUGUAACUAGAUAUAAAUAUACGGCGAAAGAUAUUGUUGCUAAAAGAUAAUCUCUUGAUUAAUUCUCUCCUCCACCCUAACAUUUAUUAUUGUGACAUUUCUAAGAUAAUACAUAUCAUUGUACACCCCCUUAGGUCAUCUCCGAGGAGAAAUCUUAAAUGGGCACCCUCAAAUGUCGCGGAAACGUCCGGUUAUGUCUUCGGACAGUCGAUCAAACGCUGACCAAAUAAGGCUAUAUCUGAAAACUCUCCUACUUAUAUGUCCCUUCCCCUUCACUUCUUUUUGUUCACUAAAUUAAUUUCUUUCAUGUUCAACAUUCAAUAGCAAUUUUACGACGCAUAUAACACUUGCAAACAAAAACAAGCAAAACCAAAAGCACCGGAUGCCCAACAAAAAUAGCAAUUACUCGAAAGAAAAUCACGACCGGACGAGCGUUAGCGACUUGAUGAACAUGUAGUCCUUGUUGAGGUCGACGGCGAUGUACGGUGGAGGGUGGCCGGAGGUGAAGGAGGCAACAGAGUGUUGUCGCGAUUGUUGCAUGCCAGGUUCACCGUACUUCUGGGCAGCGAAGUAGUAUGACGCUUUGUACUAGGCGGGCCAUGGUGGCGAUUGCCCCAGCUAGACCGACAAGGCGGUCCGUUGUGGAGGAGGAGCUCCGGCCUGAACGGCUGCCUGCAUCUUCGUCUUCACCCUUCGCUUUAUGCACCUCUCUUGUCAUUUGGUAGUCUCCGGAUUCACAGGUGCGGCGCGCGUGGCAGACGUGCUCCGGGUCCAAAGGGGCGAUGAACCUCGUGAUGGGCUUUAGUGGAUCCAUCAUGGCGGUGACGAAACAGACAUGAUGACGAUGUUCGGAACGGAGAAGAUGGGGUUUUGGCGAGAAAAUAGUAGGAUCCGACGCCAUGAGUUCUGUUCAUCGCACGUCAUGAUAUACUAAUAGCUGGCUCAACCAACGUGCACCAGCGGCAUCUACUUGAGCCAGCACGAGGUAUAUGCACUGCUCUAGCUAACCUCAGAUAUUAUUUGUCUCUGUCCUCCUAACUGUCAGUGAUUAGCACCACCAGCUCAAAGAGGGCAAAAUUAUCACCAUUAGCGGUACCGUAGCUUCCAGUCACGUGCACAAGUGGUAGGUACAUGCAAUGGAUGUUGUGGUGCCACGUUCUCUCCUAUGGUAGUUGGGACAUGUACAACAUCUAAAAGGGAAAUUAGGACGUUGAUAGAGACGCAUCUUAAAUUCGCAAUAUUAUGGUGAUCAUCGAGUAUACUAAAAAAUGUACUAAAGCAAAGACAAGUAAUAUGGAUCGAAGAGAGCACAGUGAGUUGCCUCUUAAUCGAAUCUUUUGUAACUAGAUAUAAAUAUACGGCGAAAGAUAUUGUUGCUAAAAGACCAUCUUUUGAUUAAUUCUCUCCUUCACCCCAACAUUUAUUAUUGUGAUAUUUCUAAGAUAAUACAUAUCAUUGUACACCCCCUUAGGUCACCUCCGAGGAGAAAUCUCAAAUGGGCACCCUCAAAUGUCGUGGAAACGUCCGGUUAUGUCUCCGGACAGUCGGUCAGACGCUGACCAAAUAAGGCUAUAUCUGAAAACUCUCCUACUUAUCUGUCCCUUCCCCUUCACUUCUUUUUGUUCACUAAAUCAAUUUCUUCCAUGUUCAACAUUCAAUAGCAAUUUCACGACGCAUAUAACACUUGCAAACAAAAACAAGCAAAACAAAAGCACCAGAUGCCCAACAAAAAUAGCAAUUACUCAAAAGAAAAUCACGACCAAACGAGCGUUAGCGACUCGAUGAACAUGUAGUCCUUGUUGAGGUCGACGGCGAUGUACGGUGGAGGGUGGCCGGAGGUGAAGGAGGCAACAUAGUGUUGUCGCGAUUGUUGCAAGCCAGGUUCACCGUACUUCUGGGCAGCGAAGUAGUACGACGCUUUAUACUAGGCGGGCCAUGGUGGCGAUUGCCCCAUCUAGACCGACAAGGCGGUCCGUUGUGGAGGAGGAGCUCCGGCCUGAACGGCUGCCUGCAUCUUCUUCUUCACCCUUCACUUUAUGCAGCUCUCUUGUCGUUUGGUAGUCUCCGGAUUCACCGGUGCGGCGCGCGUGGCGGACGUGCUCCGGGUUUGAAGGGGCAAUGAACCUCGUGAUGGGCUUUGGUGGAUCCAUCGUGGCGGUGACGAAACAGACAGGAUGACGAUGUUCGGAAUGCAGAAGAUGGGGUUUUGGCAAGAAAAUAGUAGGAUCCGAUGCCAUGAGUUCUGUUCAUCGCACAUCAUGAUAUACUAAUAGCUGGCUCAACCAACGUGCACCAGCGGCAUCUACUUGAGCCAGCACGAGGUAUAUGCAUUGCUUUAGCUAACCUCAGAUAUUAUUUGUCUCUGUCCUCCUAACUGUCAGCGAUUAGCACCACCAGCUCAAAGAGGGCAAAAUUAUCACCAUUAGCGGUACCGCAGCUUCCAGUCAUGUGCACAAGUGGUAGGUACAUGCAAUGGAUGUUGUGGUGUCGCGUUGUCUCCUAUGGUAGUUGGGACAUGUACAACAUCUAAAAGAAAAAUUGGGACGUUGAUAAAAAGACACAUCUUAGAUUCGCAAUAUUAUGAUGAUCAUCGAGUAUACUAAAAAAUGUACUAAAGCAAAGACAAGUAAUAUGGAUCGAAGAGAGCACAGUGAGUUGCCUCUUAAUCGAAUCUUUUGUAACUAGAUAUAAAUAUACGGCGAAAGAUAUUGUUGCUAAAAGACCAUCUCUUGAUUAAUUCUCUCCUUCACCCCAACAUUUAUUAUUGUGAAAUUUCUAAGAUAAUACAUAUCAUUGUACACCCCCUUAGGUCAUCUCCAAGGAGAAAUCUCAAAUGGGCACCCUCAAAUGUCGCAGAAACGUCCGGUUAUGUCUCCGGACAGUCGGUCAGACGCUGACCAAAUAAGGAUAUAUCUGAAAACUCUCCUACUUAUCUGUCCCUUCCCCUUCACUUCUUUUUGUUCACUAAAUCAAUUUCUUCCAUGUUCAACAUUCAAUAAGAAUUUACGACGCAUAUAACACUUGCAAACAAAAACAAGCAAAACAAAAGCACCAGAUGCCCAACAAAAAUAGCAAUUACUCGAAAGGAAAUCACGACCGGACGAGCGUUAGCGACUCGAUGAACAUGUAGUCCUUGUUGAGGUCGACGGCGAUGUACGGUGGAGGGUGGCCGGAGGUGAAGGAGGCAACAGAGUGUUGUCGUGAUUGUUGCAAGCCAGGUUCACUGUACUUCUGGGCAGCGAAGUAGUAUGACGCUUUAUACUAGGCGGGCCAUGGUGGCGAUUGCCCCAUCUAGACCGACAAGGCGGUCCGUUGUGGAGGAGGAGCUCCGGCCUGAACGGCUGCCUGCAUCUUCUUCUUCACCCUUCGCUUUAUGCAGCUCUCUUUUCGUUUGGUAGUCUCCGGAUUCACCGGUGCGGCGCACGUGGCGGACGUGCUCCGGGUCUGAAGGGGCAAUGAACCUCGUGAUGGGCUUUGGUGGAUCCAUCGUGGCGGUGACGAAACACACAGGAUGACGAUGUUCGGAACGGAGAAGAUGGGGUUUUGGCGAGAAAAUAGUAGGAUCCGACGCCAUGAGUUCUGUUCAUCGCACGUCAUGAUAUACUAAUAGCUGGCUCAACCAACGUGCACCAGCGACAUCUACUUGAGCCAGCACGAGGUAUAUGCACUGCUCUAGCUAACGUCAGAUAUUAUUUGUCUCUGUCCUCCUAACUGUCAGCGAUUAGCACCACCAGCUCAAAGAGGGCAAAAUUAUCACCAUUAGCGGUACCGCAGCUUCCAGUCACGUGCACAAGUGGUAGGUACAUGCAAUGGAUGUUGUAGUGUCGCGUUCUCUCCUAUGGUAGUUGGGACAUGUACAACAUCUAAAAGGAAAAUUGGGACGUUGAUAAAGAGACGCAUCUUAAAUUCGCAAUAUUAUGAUGAUAACAAUAAAAAAAAUAGUCCCAUCGAGUAUACUAAAUAAUGUACUAAAGCAAAGACAAGUAAUAUGGAUCGAAGAGAACACACUGAGUUGCCUUUUAAUCGAAUCUCUUGAAACUAGAUAUAAAUAUACGGUGAAAGAUAUUGUUGCUAAAAGACCAUCUCUUGAUUAAUUCUCUCCUUCACCCCAACAUUUAUUAUUGUGACAUUUCUAAGAUAAUACAUAUCAUUGUACACCCCCUUAGGUCAUCUCUGAGGAGAAAUCUCAAAUGGGCACCCUCAAAUGUCCCGGAAACGUCCGGUCAUGUCUCGAGACAGUCGGUCAGACGCUGACCAAAUAAAGCUAUAUUUGAAAACUCUCCUACUUAUCUGUCCCUUCCCCUUCACUUCUUUUUGUUCACUAAAUCAAUUUCUUCCAUGUUCAACAUUCAAUAGCAAUUUUACGACGCAUAUAACACUUGCAAAUAAAAACAAGCAAAACCAAAAGCACCGGAUGCCCAACAAAAAUAGCAAUUACUCGAAAGAAAAUAACGACCAGACGAGCGUUAGCGACUCGAUGAACAUGUAGUCCUUGUUGAGGUCGACGGCGAUGUACGGUUGAGGGUGGCCGGAGGUGAAGGAGGCAACAGAGUGUUGUCGCGAUUGUUGCAUGCCAGGUUCACCGUACUUUUGGGCAGCGGAGUAGUAUGACACUUUGUACUAGGCGGGCCAUGGUGGCAAUUGCCCCAGCUAGACCGACAAGGCGGUCCGUUGUGGAGGAGGAGCUCCGGCCUGAACGGCUGCCUGCAUCUUUGUCUUCACCCUUCGCUUUAUGCACCUCUCUUGUUGUUUGGUAGUCUCCGGAUUCACCGGUGCGGCGCGCGUGGCAGACGUGCUCCGGGUCCAAAGGGGCGAUGAACCUCGUUAUGGGCUUUAGUGGAUCCAUUGUGGCGGUGACAAAACAGAUAGGAUGACGAUGUUCGGAACGAAGAAGACGGGGUUUUGGCGAGAAAAUAGUAGGAUCCGACGCCAUGAGUUUUGUUCAUCGCACGUCAUGAUAUACUAAUAGCUGGCUCAACCAACAUGCACCAGCGGAUUCUAUUUGAGCCAGCACGAGGUAUAUGCACUGCUCUAGCUAACCUCAGAUAUUAUUUGUCUCUGUCCUCCUUACUGUCAGCGAUUAGCACCACCAGCUCAAAGAGGGCAAAAUUAUCACCAUUAGCGGUACCGCAGCUUCCAGUCAUGUGCACAAGUGGUAGGUACAUGCAAUGGAUGUUGUGGUGUCGCGUUGUCUCCUAUGAUAGUUGGGACAUGUACAACAUCUAAAAGGAAAAUUGGGACGUUGAUAAAGAGACCCAUCUUAAAUUCACAAUAUUAUGAUGAUAACAAUAAAAAAUAUAUAGUCCCAUGGAGUAUACUCAAAAAUGUACUAAAGCAAAGACAAGUAAUAUGGAUCGAAGAGAACACAAUGAGUUGCCUUUUAAUCGAAUCUCUUGAAACUAGAUAUAAAUAUACGGCGAAAGAUAUUGUUGCUAAAAGACCAUCUCUUGAUUAAUUCUCUCCUUCACCCCAACAUUUAUUAUUGUGACAUUUCUAAGAUAAUACAUAUCAUUGUACACCCCCUUAGGUCAUCUCUGAGGAGAAAUCUCAAAUGGGCACCCUCAAAUGUCCCGGAAACGUCCGGUCAUAUCUCCGGACAGUCGGUCAGAUGCUGACCAAAUAAGGCUAUAUCUGAAAACUCUCCUACUUAUCUGUCCCUUCCCCUUCACUUCUUUUUGUUCACUAAAUCAAUUUCUUCCAUGUUCAACAUUCAAUAGCAAUUUUACGACGCAUAUAACACUUGCAAAUAAAAACAAGCAAAACCAAAAGCACCGGAUGCCCAACAAAAAUAGCAAUUACUCGAAAGAAAAUAACGACCAGACGAGCGUUAGCGACUCGAUGAACAUGUAGUCCUUGUUGAGGUCGACGGCGAUGUACGGUUGAGGGUGGCCGGAGGUGAAGGAGGCAACAUAGUGUUGUCGUGAUUGUUGCAUGCCAGGUUCACCGUACUUCUGGGCAGCGGAGUAGUAUGACACUUUGUACUAGGCGGGCCAUGGUGGCGAUUGCCCCAGCUAGACCGACAAGGCGGUCCGUUGUGGAGGAGGAGUUCCGGCCUGAACGGCUGCCUGCAUCUUCGUCUUCACCCUUCGCUUUAUGCACCUCUUUUGUUGUUUGGUAGUCUCCGGAUUCACCGGUGCGGCGCGCAUGGCAGACGUGCUUCGGGUCCAAAGGGGCGAUGAACCUCGUUAUGGGCUUUAGUGGAUCCAUUGUGGCGGUGACGAAACAGACAGGAUGACGAUGUUCGGAACGAAGAAGAUAGGAUUUUGGCGAGAAAAUAGUAGGAUCCGACGCCAUGAGUUUUGUUCAUCGCACGUCAUGAUAUACUAAUAGCUGGCUCAACCAACAUGCACCAGCGGAUUCUACUUGAGCCAGCACGAGGUAUAUGCACUGCUCUAGCUAACCUCAGAUAUUAUUUGUCUCUGUCCUCCUUACUGUCAGCGAUUAGCACCACCAGCUCAAAGAGGGCAAAAUUAUCACCAUUAGCAGUACCGCAGCUUCCAGUCACGUGCACAAGUGGUAGGUACAUGCAAUGGAUCUUGUGGUGCCGCGUUCUCUCCUAUGGUAGUUGGGACAUGUACAAUGAUACGUCUCCAACGUAUCUAUAAUUUUUGAUUGCUCCAUGCUACAUUAUCUACUGUUUUGGACAUUAUUGGGCUUUAUUAUCCACUUUUUUAUUAUUUUUAGGACUAACCUAUUAACCGAGGCCCAGCCCAGAAUUGUUGUUUUUUUGCCUGUUUUAGGGUUUCGAAGAAAAGGAAUAUCGAACGGAGUCCAAAUGGAAUGAAACCUUCGGUAACGUGAUUUUCUCACCGAAUACAACUCAGGAGACUUGGACCCUUUGUCAAGCCAAUUAACAGGAGGCCACGAGGUAGGGGGGCGCGCCUGCCCCCAGGCGCGCCCUCCACCCUCGUGGGCCCCCUGUUGCUCCACCGACGUACUUCUUCCUCCUAUAUAUAUCCACGUACCGAUAAACGAUCAGAAACGGAGCCAAAAACCUAAUUCCACUGCUGCAACUUUCUGUAUCCAUGAGAUCCCAUCUUGGGGCCUGUUCCGGAGCUCCACCGGAGGGGGCAUCGAUCACGGAGGGCUUCUACAUCAUCAUCCAAACCCCUCCGAUGAAGUGUGAGUAGUUUACUUCAGACCUACGGGUCCAUAGUUAGUAGCUAGAUGUCUUCUUCUCUCUUUUUGGAUCUCAAUACAAUGUUCUCCCCCUCUCUCAUGGAGAUCUAUUCGAUGUAAUCUUCUUUUUGCGGUGUGUUUGUUGAGACCGAUGAAUUGUGGGUUUAUGAUUGAAAGGAUCGAUAUGGUUGACUAGGGGGGGGGGUGAAUAGGCAACUACCAAUUUUUAGCUUUUCUUUACCAAAUUAAACUUUGCAUCAAAGUAGGUUGUCUAGAUGUGCAACUAGGUGAGCAACCUAUGUGAUGCAAUAUCAACAAGCAUACAAGCAAGCAAGGUAGAAACACUAAAGAGCUUGCACAAGUAAAGGUAAGAGAUAACCAAGAGUGGAUCCGGUGGAGACGAGGAUGUGUUACCGAAGUUCCUUCCUUUUGAGGGGAAGUACGUCUCCGUUGGAGCGGUGUGGAGGCACAAUGCUCCCCAAGAAGCCACUAGGGCCACCGUAUUCUUCUCACGCCCUCACACAAUGCGAGAUGCCGUGAUUCCACUAUUGGUGCCCUUGAAGGCGGCGACCGAACCUUUACAAACAAGGUUGGGGCAAUCUCCACAACUUAAUCGGAGGCUCCCAACAAGACCACGAAGCUUCACCACAAUGGAAUAUGGCUCCGAGGUGACCUCAACCAUCUAGGGUGCUCAAACACCAAGAGUAACAAGAUCCGCUAGGGAUGAGUGGGGGAAUCGAAAAUCCCUUGGUGGAAGUGUAGAUCGGAGCCUUCUCAACCACUCCCGAGCAAAUCAACAAGUUUGAUUGGCUAGGGAGAUAGAUCAGGCAAAAUGAAGCUUGGAGUAUUUAAUGGAGCUUGAGCAAUAAAUGGAACUUUGGGGGAGGAAGAGGUGAGUGAGAAGGAGGAAGGGGACUCCCUUUUAUAGUGGGGGCAACAAUCCCGUUGCCCCCCCACCAACCAGCCCCGGACAGGGCGGUACUACCGCUGAGAGGGUGCGGUACUACCGCCAGGCGAUGGUACUACCGCGCCACCCUGCGGUACUGCCGCGCUGAGGAGACUUAGUAGGGAACGGACCCCAAUAGCAGUACUACCGCGGUGGUAGGGCGGUACUACCGCUCCUGGAACGGUACUACCGCCACUACAACCGUGACUAGUGCCGCAAAACCCGACACGAGAAAAAGACCUCUCGAAUCGAGGCAGUGAGCCAGAAUACCCAGCGGUACUAAGGCAGUGGGGUCAAGGGCGGUAGUACCGCUGUGGAGCGGUACUGCCACUUGUGACCCUUCGGCCGUAGUACCGCAGGCAGUGCGGUACUACCGCUGGGGCGCACGCGCGAGAGAGAAGGGAUCUCUCAAAAAUGCUGAGGACACGGCGGAUGUGCCAGGCCCCCAGCGGUACUACUGCUGUGGAGCCACAGCGGUACUACCGCUGCAAACGGUACUGCCGCUUGUGGCUUCUCAGCGGUACUACCGCUGGGUGCGCGGUACUGCCGCUUAGACCCAGACAGAACAAGGAAGAGAGGAGAGAUCUCUUCAAUGGACAGGAAAAGCUCGGAGGGUGAGAAGCUGAUGUGUACGUGAUGAUUCCACCCAUGCAAAACCCCAGCGGACCCCCUCUUGAUAGUACGGUGCCCUCUACGCAACUAGUCCACCGAGAAAGAAACGAAAGAGCUACACCAUCUUGAAAUACACUCUGAGGGGAAGAAAGUGUCUCGUGCCAGGGGAGAAUCUGUGAAUUAUUCAAAGCACAAGAUUAGUCCGCAAACAUGUCGUCAUCAAUCACCAAAACUACCUUGAGAGAGAUAUGCCGUAACAAUCUCCCCCUUUUUGGUGGAUUGAUGACAACUAGGGAUUUGCGCAAGGAAAAGAAAUAAAAUGAAGAAAGCUAAGAACUACAAAAUAUAGACGGGCUCCCCCAGAAUGUGUGCACCAAGAGAUGGCACGACCCACACAUUCGGAUCAAAACUCCCCCUAUAUUUUAUAGUCCAACAAUACUAAGCACAAGAUAUAUGAGAGAAUUGAAUAAACAGGACAAGCGUGCAUCUCACAAUAAACUACAGUACUCAGACAUGACAUAAGUAAUAAGGUAGCGAUAGGGAGCAUAUGUCUCACACCAUAUGUCUAGAGCUUAGGGCUCACACCAAACCAAACCAAAGAAGGACACCAAGAGAACACACAAGAAACCACAAGACGACACAAAACACGACACAAGAGGCAAAUCCCUACACUCUCUCCCCCUUUGGCAGCGAGACACCAAAAAGGGCAUAGAGUGACACUACGACUCCAGGUGAUGGGAGGUGGAAGAGCUCGAACAUCACAUCUCUGCAUCUUCAUCGUGGGUCGAGAACUGCUCGGCAUCGGAGUCGGUCCAGUGGCAAUUUUGAUGAAUCCAGUCCUCCUCUUCAGUGAUCUGACCCUCAGACCCACUAGCAACUGUUGCUCCCAUCUGACGCAUGAGCUCCUUGUGGCGCGUCCUGGCAUGCUUCUCCGCCACACGAGUCAUGUACUGACCAUGAGACUCCAUGCAGAAAAGCUUCUUCAUCUUGCGCUUAAGCUUCUGUGCCCAUGAAGGUUCAGCACUAGUGGAACCAAAAUCCUCCUCAUGAGCAUCAGUAGCAGCCUCACCCUCGGUCCCCAUGGCAGCAGCAGCAGCAGCAGGCGGACCCCUUGGGGCAGCAGUAGCAGAUGGACCCCCUAUGUGAGGCGCUGUCCGGUUGUCCUUCUUCCUCAGACGCUUGAUCUCAUGAGAAACCAAGUCUCCAGUCUCUAGCAGCACUCUGGGAUAAGUCUGUGCCCAGGCCCUCUCAAUGAGCCUCAUGAUGAAUGGACCAUAGAUAGGACACUUGCGCUCAGACACGGCAGAUAGAAGUUCACACCACAUGACAUGAGAGAUAUCCAGGCUCUCUCCAGUGCUUGCUUCCUUCUCAUGCUGACAGAAAAGGAGCAUGUCCACGAGGUAAGAGUGGACCAUAUCCAGAUUCCCAAUCCGAGGGAAGAGAGUCUCACGGAAUAUGCGAUGAAGAAUGUCCAGAUACGGAGACAACUCAUAGGUCUUCUUCUCAGUUACUGGGUGAACCUUCACAGUGCAGUAGGGCCAAAGGGCUUGCUUGUGGGUGGAUGUAGCAUUGCGGUGAGGACGGAAACCGACAGGAGUCUCAAGCCCGGUAUCCACCACAUCAAGUAACUCCAUGAAAGCCUUCCACUUGACAGAAAGCAGCUUGCCAUUGGUCAUCCAUGUCAGAGUCCUGUUGACAUCCGUCCCAAGAUGGACGGUGGCAUAGAAUUGAGCUACCAAAUCCGCAUCAAAGUCCUUGUUGAAUUGCAUGAUCCUGAGAAUGUUCAGCUGAGUGCACAUCUGAAGAGCUUCGCCAAAGUACUCCGGAUCCUUCUCCAUAGCAUCAGUGUCGAUGGAGUGAACAUCAACAAAAAGAUUCUUCUUGGCCUUGAUCACAUCAAAGUAGAUGGCAAACUGAAAACGGUUCCAGAACGGGUGGUUGACCAAAGUGGGUUCUUGGUCCACCGCAUAGGGGUUGCGGCGACGCUUCUCCCAAAACUCCUUGUUGGUCAUCUCAGUCACAGUCUUCUCGCUUCGAUUGCUGAGGAGGUGGAGGAGCACAUGCAGAAGCACUUGUUGGAGGCGGUUGGGUGCUCGAGGAACCACCGGCAGGCUCUGAGGUGCGGUAGCAUUUUGAUGUGGCACGCCCGGGGUUGAUAUGGUGACCUUGCUGCUCGGAAUGGUCAUCACCUGGAGCCAAACACAAGAACAACGCGAAACAACCAGAAAGAACGAGCAUAAGCCAACAACACAACAAAAGAUCAAGGUAAGGCAGGAGAAUGAUGGAAAUUGGCAUGCAACGGUAGUACCGUGACCUGCCCGCGGUAGUACCGCCCCAAAGGGAGCGGUAGUACCGCUCUAGGUCAAGCGGUAGUACCGCUCCAAAGGGAGCGGUAGUACGGCUUGAGGCGGAUAAACAACAGUUUCAAAGCACGAGGCGGUGAAACAGUGGUUUCCUACUACCGUGGUCAGAUCCGGCACUACCGACCUACCAAAUUCAAAAAUAAUCCUACCAAACUCUAAUCUAGAUAGUCUAGUUGCCUUCUCCAAUCAACUCAAGCCUAGAUUUCGCCAAAAAUCUAGAGAUGCAACCACCAUUGCCCCUAAGAAACAAGAACUAAAAGGAGACAAAACGAAAGAAAGAACGGGGGCAAUACCAGCAUCCAUGGCAAGAGGACGUGGUGGGGAUCGACUCCACCAAAGGAAAUGGAGAGGGACGCCCCAAAGACGGAGAUCUACCGGAGCACUCCCGCUCUCUAGAGGAGGCUGGAGAGAGGAAGAGAAAAGAGGGGCGAAGUGAAUGGGUAUGGGGGAGAAGAAACCUCCCCCUGCCCCCGACUUAACCCCCUGUUCUCGUCCCCCAGCAGUAGUACCAUGCUGGGGGGCGGUAGUACCGCUCACGAGCGGUAGUACCGCCUAGCGCACCACGGUAACUAAACAGACACGGCUUAGCUCGACGAAACGAAAAAAACCGGCAAACACACCAGCAAACGACCAAGACACGCCUCUUCACAAGAGGGCGGUGGCCGAGGCCACCUAUGUUUGAGUCAAAAGGUAUGGCACCGCGAAGAUUUUAACCUUGGGCCCAUGACCAAAACUCGUCUUUUAAGCACAAGUGCCAUCAACAAUGGCUAAAGUGAAAGACUUGAUCAAUUUAUGCAUAAUGGGGGGAGGGAGAGUUCAUUGAGAGAACAACACUCCCCCUAUGUCCAUGCCUACACCUAAACUAGACAACAAAUUGAGCGUGGUAGGGUGUGCAAGGGUUCAAGCCACAUUGCUUGAAUCAAUGAUAUUUAGCUCAUGCCUUAACUCGCGAAAUCUUGCUUCAUCCAAGGGCUUCGUGAAAAUAUCUGCAAGGUUGUCAUGAGUGUUGACAUAGUUGAGCUCGAUCUCUCCUCGCCUAAUAUGAUCCCGGAUGAAGUGAUACCGAAUCUCAAUAUGCUUCGUCUUGAAGUGUUGCACCGGGUUGAGAGAAAUCUUGAUGGCACUUUCAUUGUCACACCAAAGAGGCACUUUGUCACAAGUGACACCGUAAUCCUUUAAAGUUUGCCUCAUCCAUAGAAGUUGUGCACAACAACUACCGGCGGCAACAUACUCCGCCUCAGUGGACGAGAGAGACACACAACUUUGCUUUUUGGAAGACCAACUUACCAAAGAGCAACCAAGGAAUUGGCACCCUCCGGAAGUGGACUUCCUAUCCACUUUGUCUCCCGCCCAAUCGGAAUCCGAGUACCCUACAAGCUUGAAGUUUGAUCCUCUUGGGUACCAUAAGCCAAAGUUUGGGGUAUGAACCAAAUAUCGAAAGAUUCGUUUGACCGCCACAUAGUGACUUUCCUUAGGUGCGGCUUCAAACCGUGCACAAAUUCCCACACUCAACAUGAUGUCCGGUCUAUAUGCACAAAGGUAAAGCAAGGAACCAAUCAUGGAACAAUAUACCUUUUGAUCCACCACUUUACCAUUGGGAUCUAAGUCAAGUUGGCACUUGGUGGGCAUUGGAGUGGAGGCCGGCUUGACGUCACUUAGCUUGAAUCUCUUGAGCAUGUCUUGGCUGUAUUUGGAUUGAUUAAUGAAGGUUCCUUCUCUUCUUUGCUUCACUUCGAACCCUAGAAAGAACUUCAACUCUCCCAUGGAGGACAUCUCGAACUUUGAGGUCAUGAGAGCGGCAAAUUCCUCAUUGAAAGCUUUGUUAGGAGAACCAAAGAUAAUAUCAUCAACAUAUAAUUGGCACACAAACAACUCCCCUUUGACCUUCUUAGUAAAAAGAGUGGGGUCGAUUAGCCCAACUUCAAAACCAUGAUCUUGUAACAACUCGGUAAGGUGGUCAUACCACACACGUGGGGCUUGUUUAAGGCCAUAGAGUGCCUUAUCGAGUUGAUACACAUGAUCGGGAAAGUAGGGAUCCUCGAACCCGGGGGGUUGCUUGACGUAAACCAAUUCAUUAAUGGGACCAUUAAGAAAAGCACUCUUCACAUCCAUUUGUUGUAACUUAAAGUUAUGAUGAGAAGCAUAUGCAAUCAACAUGCGAAUGGAUUCAAGACGAGCAACGGGAGCAAAGGUUUCACCGUAGUCGAUACCCUCGACUUGGGAGUAGCCUUGUGCUACCAAACGGGCCUUGUUGCGAAUGAUAAUCCCAUGGGCAUCUUGCUUGUUCUUGAAUAUCCACUUGGUUCCAAUGACAUUAUGGUUCCCCGUUGGCCUUGGCACCAAUCUCCACACUUUGUUGCGCUCGAAGUUGUUGAGUUCUUCGUGCAUGGCAUUGAGCCAAUCCGGAUCUUCUAGCGCCUCAUAGACCUUGUGGGGUUCCACACAAGAGACAAACACGUGAUGCUCACAAUAAUUUGCUAAUUUUCUACGAGUGCUUACCCCCUUUCUUAAGCUUCCAAGCACAUUCGUCAUGAGAUGAUCCUUGGUGGAGAGCUUGGAAGCAACCUUGGCGGCACGACGCUCUAAUUCCUCCUCGGUGGUGAGUUGAGGAGCGGUUUGAUCAUCUUGAGUGUCGUCAUGAACUUGUUGUUGAUCUUGAACUUUCUCGAGGGAGAGAACUUGACUUUGGGCAUCACUUGGUGUGUCAACACCGUCUUGAGUAUGAUCUUGCCCUUGGUCUUGUUCAAGAGGUUGAGGGCCUUCACUUUGUUCUUUGGAAGCAUGUGGGCCUUGGGUUGGUGAUGGCUCCACUUGAGUGGAGCAUUGUCCUUCUCCUUCGGCCACAAGGGGUUCCUCAAUGGGUAGGAUGAAACCUACACCCAUUCUUCUUAUGGCUUGAGGAGGAAUUUCAUCACCUACAUCACAAGUGCCACUUUGCUCCACUUGGGAGCCGUUAUUCUCAUCAAACUCCACGUUACACGUCUCCUCAAUAAGUCCCGUGGAUUUAUUGAGUACACGGUAAGCAUGAGAGUUUGUAGCAUAACCAACGAAUAUGCCCUCAUAAGCUCUAGCCUCAAAUUUAGACAACCGAACACCUUUCUUGAGAAUGAAACACUUACACCCGAAUACUCGGAAGUACUUGAGAUUGGGCUUGUUACCGGUUAGUAUCUCAUAUGGAGUCUUGUUCAAGCCCUUGCGGAGGUAGAGCCGAUUGGAUGCAUGACACGCGGUGUUGAUGGCUUUGGCCCAAAAGUUGUACGGAGACUUGAACUCCGCCAUCAUGGUCCUUGCCGCAUCCAUCAAUGUCCGGUUCUUCCUCUCCGCAACACCGUUUUGUUGAGGGGUGUAUGGUGCGGAAUAUUGAUGCUUGAUUCCCUCAUCACUAAGAAAUUCAUCCAAGGUGUAGUUCUUGAACUCGGUGCCGUUGUCACUUCUUAUUGUCAAGAUCUUUGCAUUAUGUUGACGUUGUGCUUCAUUUGCAAAGUCAAUGACAGUUUGUUGGGUCUCGCUCUUCCUCUUGAAGAAAUACACCCACGUGUACCUUGAGUAGUCAUCCACAAUCACCAAGCAAUACUUUCUACCUCCAAGACUAUCGAAGGAUGGGGGCCCAAAAAGAUCCAUGUGAAGGAGCUCCAAAGGCCUCUUUGAAUAAAUGAUAGUCGUGGGAGGGUGAGCCUUCUCAUGUAGCUUUCCUUCGAUACAGGCACUGCAAGCACGAUCUUUAACAAAACUAACAUUCGUUAGUCCACGGACAUGGUCCCCCUUGAGAAGACUUUGCAAAGAUCUCAUAUUGACAUGGGCUAAACAGCGAUGCCAAAGCCAUCCCACAUCAACUUUAGCCAUUAGGCAUGUCGCGGUCUUAGUGGGUCGCUCCGAAAAGUUAAUCACAUAUAGACCGUUCUCGACAUGCCCAACAAAAGCUACUUUAAGAGUCUUGCUCCACAAGAGGGCCACGGUAUCGAUAUCAAAGAAAGUGGCAAAGCCCAUGAUUGCAAGUUGACGAACAGAAAGUAAAUUGUACGCAAGGGACUCAACAAGCAUGACCUUCUCGAUCGUGAGAUCAUGAGAGAUGACCACCUUGCCAAGUCCCAAUACCUUAGAGGAUGAGGCGUCACCCCACUCGACAUUGGUGGGCAUAGAUGGAACUUUGUGCACGUCCACCACCAAGUCCUUGCUUCCGGUCAUAUGUUUUUUAGCUCCGCUAUCGAGCAACCAUGAUCCACCUCCGGAAGCAAACACCUACAAGAUAUCAAUGCUUGGUUUUAGGUACCCAUUUUGUUAUGGGUCCUCUGAUGUUAGUAACAAGGGUCUUAGGAACCCAAAUAGACCAUUCAAUGUACUCAUGAAGAGAACCAACAAAUUUGUCAUAAACAUGCCCAUCACUAGCACGGCAUAACACAUAAGAAGGAUUAAAACCGCCAGCUUUGUUGGGAGGGAUGACAUUUCCCUUCUUGACAUUGUUCUUCUUCUUCUCCUCGGGGGCACUCUCUCCCUCCCUCACAAAGGUUUGCAUGAGGGGAGGAGGUCGUUUGGUCUUGUCAUUCUUCUUCUUGUUCUUGGAGUCGGGCACGUACCCAACCCCUUCCUUGGCCACACCUCCCUUUUGGUUGAUCAAGAGAUCGUUGAGGUUCUUCUUUCCUUGUAUGCAAGUCGCAAGACCUCUCUCAAGUUGCUCCUUCAACUUAGCAUUUUCCUCAACAAGAUGUAUAUGCUCACAACACGAGUAGCAUUUGCAUUAUCAAUUAAAACCAUAUGAGGAAAAGUUGCUUUCUCCUUAGUUAGCUUCACUUGGAGUUGAUCAUGAGACUCCUUGAGACUAGCGUGAAUACCCUUCAAGGACUUGUGGGCCUUGUCAAGUAUAUCAAACUCCUGUUUGAGUCUAGCAAGAUCAACCCUAAGUUUGGCCUUCUCGGAAUUUAGCACACGAGAAACAAUGAGGGCAUGAUCAUAAUCUUUCUUUAACUUAGCAUGAUCAACGUUGUGUGACUCCUCAAGAGCCAAACGAAGACCACGCUCUUCCUCAAGAGCAUUGGAAAGAUUCGAAAUCUCAUCGGCAUAGUCACGACUAUGCCCUUCCAUCUUAGAGAUGGUAUCUUCGUGAGCCUCGAUCAUGUCAUUGGCCUCACCAAGUUGUUCCAAGAGAGCAACAAAGUGCUUCUUGGAUUUUCCCUUGAGUUUGCCCAUAAAAGCCUCAAACUCGUUAGCCUCCACAUUAGCUCCCUCAAGUUCAUUAAUGCUAUCCAUUGGGGAAGGAUGAUUAAUGAUGGUAGUUUUGAUGUUGGAGGUUACCUUGUUGGUGGCUUUAUCCAUGAGGCAUUUGGCGGUGAUGCUCUCGUUGGGUGAGUCAAAGAGAGACACCCGUGAUGUUGUUGCAAUGGCAACGGAGGCCAUGGCAACCGACUCAUCAUCUUCAUCAUCGUCAUCAUCAUCAUUGUACUCUUCUUGCACAACCAAAGCCUUGGGAGGAGUCUUCUUGGUGAAGUUGUUCUUGUUGGGGAACGACUUGGCCUUGUCCUUUCAGAUGAGUUUGCCACCAUUGUCUUCUCUCUUCUCAUAUGGGCAUUCCGCAACUAAAUGACUCACGUUGCCGCAAUUGUAGCAAGUUCUUACAUGUUGCUUGCUCCUUGUGCCACUCGAGUUGUUUUUGCUAAAGUUGGGCCUCGAGUUUUUCUUGCUCCAAAAUUGCCUUGAAGCAAGUGCCAUGUGUUCAUGAUAUGCAUACUUCGUAUCUUCGGGGUUGCUCUCCUCUUCUUCCUCUUCUUCUUCUUCCACGGUGAGCUUGGCCUUCAAUGCAAGGUUAGGCUUCUUUGCCCGUUGAGAACGGAGCACCGCAUUGUCGGCGGUCUUGUCCAAAAUGUUCAUGGCCACAAACUCAUCCAACACUUCGCUUGAGGUCAAAGUGUGGAAGUCCGGUCUUUGACGAAUGACGGAGGACAUGGCCUUGUGGUAGGGCAUCAUUGCCUUGAGGAAUUUGCGCUUGAUCCAAUUGUCAUCCGUGUCCUUGCUCCCUGAUCUCGUAGUGAGACCGCGAGUUUGGUUACUCUCCGAUAAAGCUCACGAGGUUCUUCAUCUUCCUUCAUUGCAAACUCAUCGGCCUCAUCUUGUACCACUUCAUAGUUGGACCAUUGAAUGCUUGCACUUCCCCGAUAGAGAGACACGACACAAUGCCAUGCAUCUUUGGCCAAGGCGAAGGGACGAAGAUGAGGUAGGUCUUCAGGUGGAAUUGCAUCUUGAAUGAUGAAGAGAGCAUUCUCAUUGAAUUGAUUGUCCGCGGCUUCUCGAGGAGUGAAGUUGCUUGGAUCAUGUGGAUAGAAACCUUCUUCAAUGAUUCUCCAAAGGUUAGUGUUCACAUGAUUUAAAUGACGUUUAAAGUGGUAAACCCAAGAAUCAAAAUCCUCAUUUUUCACAAUCUUAGGGGAGGACCGGCAUGAUUCAAAUGAGUGGAGGGAACCGGUCCACCAUAAACAAGUGGUGGUUUCACAUGGGCAAAGAUGCCGGUGCCAUUCUUGCCACUAGAAGAAGGAGCCUUUUCACUACUAGCUUCCCCCUUGUCAGGGAUAGCAUUCGACACCUUGUUGGCGGGAUCACCCACUUUCAACGGUGCGGUGGAAAGUUUAAGCCCCUCAAGAAAUUUAGUAAACAUGCUUUCAACUUCGGUCGUCAUGGAGGUUUUCAAUGUCUCCAAGGCCACAUUGAAAUCCUCACGAGAGAUCGAAGUUCCCCCAUCUCCCGUAGACAAGAUCGGAUUCACACCGGAGUGUUCCUCCACACCGUCUACGGUAUCAACCAUACUCUUUGGACGGUAAAGUCCUUAAUAAAGAGACGACGCUCUGAUGCCAAUUGAAAGGAUCGAUAUGGUUGACUAGAGGGGGGAUGAAUAGGCAACUACCAAUUUUUAGUUUUUCUUUACCAAAUUAAACUUUGCAUCAAAGUAGGUUGUCUAGAUGUGCAACUAGGUGAGCAACCUAUAUGAUGCAAUAUCAACAAGCAUACAAGCAAGCAAGGGUAGAAACACUAAAGAGCUUGCACAAGUAAAGGUAAGAGAUAACCAAGAGUGGAUCCGGUGGAGACGAGGAUGUGUUACCGAAGUUCCUUCCUUUUGAGGGGAAGUACGUCUCUGUUGGAGUGGUGUGGAGGCACAAUGCUCCCCAAGAAGCCACUAGGGCCACUGUAUUCUCCUCACGCCCUCACACAAUGCGAGAUGCCGUGAUUCCACUAUUGGUGCCCUUGAAGGCGGCGACCGAACCUUUACAAACAAGGUUGGGGCAAUCUCCACAACUUAAUCGGAGGCUCCCAACAAGACCAUGAAGCUUCACCACAAUGGAAUAUGGCUCCGAGGUGACCUCAACCAUCUAGGGUGCUCAAACACCCAAGAGUAACAAGAUCCACUAGGGAUGAGUGGGGGAAUCGAAAAUCCCUUGGUGGAAGUGUAGAUCGGAGCCUUCUCAACCACUCCCGAGCAAAUCAACAAGUUUGAUUGGCUAGGGACAUAGAUCGGGCAAAAUGAAGCUUGGAGUAUUUAAUGGAGCUUGAGCAAUAAAUGGAGCUUUGGGGGAGGAAGAGGUGAGUGAGAAGGAGGAAGGGGACUCCCUUUUAUAGUGGGGGCAACAAUCCCGUUGCCCCCCACCAACCAGCCCCGCACAGGGCGGUACUACCGCUGAGAGGGGGCGGUACUACCGCCAGGCGGCGAUACUGCCGCGCCACCCUGCGGUACUGCCGCGCUGCGGAUUCUUAGUAGGGAACGGACCCCAAUAGCGGUACUACCGCGGUGGUAGGGCAGUACUACCGCUCCUGGAACGGUACUACCGCCACUACAACCGUGACUAGUGCCGCAAAACCCGACACGAGAAAAAGACCUCUCGAAUCGAGGAAGUAGGAGCCAGACUACCCAGCGGUACUACGGCAGUGGGGUCAAGGGCGGUAGUACCGCUGUGGAGCGGUACUACCGCUUGUGACCCUUCGGCCGUAGUACCGUAGGCAGUGCGGUACUACCGCUGGGGCGCGCGCGAGAGAGAGAAGGGAUCUCUCAAAAAUGCUGAGGACACGGUGGAUGUGCCAGGCCCCCAGCGGUACUACUGCUGUGGAGCCACAGCGGUACUACCGCUGCGAAGCGGUACUGCCGCUUGUGGCUUCUCAGCGGUACUACCGUUGGGUGCACGGUACUGCCGCUUAGACCCAAACAGGACAAGGAAGAGAGGAGAGAUCUCUUCAAUGGACAGGAAAAGCUCAGAGGGUGAGAAGCUGAUGUGUACGUGAUGAUUCCACCCAUGCAAAACCCCAGCGGACCCCCUCUUGAUAGUACGGUGCCCUCUACGCAACUAGUCCACCAAGAAAGAAAUGAAAGAGCUACACCGUCUUGAAAUACACUUCGAGGGGAAGAAAGCGUCUCGUGCCAGGGGAGAAUCUGUGAAUUAUUCAAAGCACAAGAUUAGUCCGCAAACAUGUUGUCAUCAAUCACCAAAACUACCUUGAGAGAGAUAUGCCGUAACAAUGAUCAAGUCUAUCUAUGAAUAAUAUUUGAAUCUUCUCUGAAUUCUUUUAUGUAUGAUUGGUUAUCUUUGCAAGUCUCUUCGAAUUAUCAGUUUGGUUUGGCCUACUAGAUUGGUUUUUCUUGCCAUGGGAGAAGUGCUUAGCUUUGGGUUUGAUCUUGCGGUGUCCUUUCCUAGUGACAGAAGGGGAAGCGAGGCACGUAUUGUAUCGUUGCCAUCAAGGAUAACAAGAUGGGGUUUUUAUCAUAUUGCAUGAAACUAUCCCUCUACAUCAUGUCAUCUUGCUUAAGACGUUACUCUGUUUUUAACUUAAUACUCUAGAUGCAUGCUGGAUAGCGGUCGAUGAGUGGAGUAAUAGUAGUAGAUGCAGGUAGGAGUCGGUCUACUUGUCUCGGACGUGAUGCCUAUAUACAUGAUCAUACCUAGAUAUUCUCAUAACUAUGCUCAAUUCUGUCAAUUGCUCAACAGUAAUUUGUUCACCCACCGUAGAAUACUUAUGCUCUUGAGAGAAGCCACUAGUGAAACCUAUGGCCCCCGGGUCUCUUUCUCAUCAUAUCAAUCUCCAUCACUUUAUUAUUGCUUUGCUUUUACUUUGCUUUUACUUUUUACUUUGCAUCUCUAUACCAAAAAUACCAAAAAUAUUAUUUAUCAUCUCUAUCAGAUCUCACUUUCGUAAGUGACCGUGAAGGGAUUGACAACCCCUAAGCGCAUUGGUUGCGUUGAGCUAUUGUUUUUGUGUAGGUACGAGGUACUCGCGCGUAGCCUCCUACUGGAUUGAUACCUUGGUUCUCAAAAACUGAGGGAAAUACUUACGCUACUUUGCUGCAUCAUCCUCUCCUCUUCGGGGAAAUCCAACACAGUGCUUAAGAGGUAGCAAGAAGAAUUUCUGGCGCCGUUGCCAGGGAGUCUGCGCAAAAGUCAACAUACCAAGUACCCAUCACAAUCCCUAUCUCCCGCAUUACAUUAUUUGCCAUUUGCCUCUCGUUUUCCUCUCCCCCACUUCACCCUUGCCGUUUUAUUCGCCCUCUCUCUCUAUCCUCCCUCUCUUUCUCUAUUUGCCUUUUUUUGCCCGUUUGCCUUUUGUUUGCUCGUGUGUUGGAUUGCUUGUUUGUCAUGAUGGCUAAAGAUAAUACUAAAUUGUGUGACUUCACCAAUACCAACAACAAUCAUUUCCUUAGCACUCCGAUUGCUCCUCUCACCGAUGCUGAAUCUUGUGAAAUUAAUACUGCUUUGCUGAAUCUUGUCAUGAAAGAUCCGUUCUCCGGCCUUCCUAGUGAAGAUGCCGCUACCCAUCUAAAUAGCUUCGUUGAUUUGUGUGACAUGCAAAAGAAGAAAGAUGUGGAUAAUGAUAUUGUUAAAUUGAAGCUAUUUCCUUUUUCGCUUAGAGAUCGUGCUAAAGCUUAGUUUUCGUCUUUGCCUACAAAUAGUAUUGAUUCAUGGAACAAGUGCAAAGAUGCUUUUAUCUCUAAGUAUUUUCCUCCCGCUAAGAUCAUCUCUCUUAGAAACGAUAUUAUGAAUUUUAAGUAACUUGAUCAUGAACGUGUUGCACAAGCUUGGGAGAGAAUGAAAUUAAUGAUACGUAAUUACCCUACUCAUGGUUUAAAUUUGUGGAUGAUUAUACAAAUAUUUUAUGCCGGAUUGAAUUUUGCUUCUAGAAAUCUUUUAGAUUCAGCCGUGGGAGGCACCUUUAUGGAAAUCACUUUAGGAGAAGCUACUAAACUCCUAGAUAAUAUUAUGGUUAAUUAUUCUCAAUGGCAUACUGAAAGAUCUACUAAUAAAAAGGUGCAUGCGAUAGAAGAAAUUAAUGUUUUGAGUGGAAAGAUGGAUGAACUUAUGAAAUUAUUUGCUAAUAAGAGUGUUUCUUCUGAUCCUAAUGAUGUGCCCUUGUCUACUUUGAUUGAAAAUAAUAAUGAGUCUAUGGAUGUGAAUUUUGUUGGUAGGAACAAUUUUGGUAACAACGCGUAUAGAGGAAAUUUUAAUCCUAGGCCUUAUCCUAGUAAUCCCUCUAAUAAUUAUGGUAAUUCCUACAACAAUUCUUAUGGAAAUUAUAAUAAGAUGCCCUCUGAUUUUGAAUCUAAUAUUAAAGAAUUUAUUUCUUCGCAAAAGAAUUUUAAUGCUAUGAUUGAAGAAAAAUUGCUUAAGAUUGAUGAUUUGGCUAGGAACGUUGAUAGAAUUUCUCUUGAUAUUGAUUCUUUGAAACUAAGAUCUAUUCCACCUAAGCAUGAUAUCAAUGAGUCUAUCAAAGCCAUGAGAAUUUCCAUUUACGAGUGCAAAGAAAGAACCGCUAGGAUGCGUGCUAAGAAAGAUGCCUUUAUAAAAGCGUGUUCUUCUAGUUCCUAUGAAAAUAAUGAUGAAGAUCUAAAAGUUAUUGAUGUGUCCCCUAUUAAAUCUUUUUUUGCAAUAUGAAUCUUGAUAAUGAUGGGACUGAAUAUGAUCCACCUUUACCUAGAAGGCGUUCCAAGAAUUUGAAUCUUUUGAUCUUGAUGCUAAAUUUGAUAAAAGUGGGAUUGAAGAAAUUAAAACCCUAGAUGUUGCUAAACCCACUAUUAUGGAUUUCAAGGAAUUUAACUAUGAAAAUUGCUCUUUGAUUGAUUUUAUUUCCUUAUUGCAAUCUGUGCUAAAUUCUCCUCACGCUUGUAGUCAAAAUAAAGCAUUUACUAAACAUAUCGUUGAUGUCUUGGUGCAAUCUUAUGAAGAAAAACUUGAAUUGGAAGUUUCUAUCCCUAGAAAACUUUAUGAUAAGUGGGAACCAACUAUUAAAAUUAAAAUUAAAGAUCAUAAGUUUUAUGCUUUGUGUGAUUUGGGUGCUAGUGUCUCUACUAUUCCCAAAACUUUGUGUGAUUUGCUAGAUUUCCGUAAUUUUGAUGAUUGCUCUCUAAACUUGCAUCUUGCGGAUUCCACUAUUAAGAAACCUAUGGGAAGAAUUAAUGAUGUUCUUAUUGUUGCAAAUAGGAAUUAUGUGCCCAUAGAUUUUAUCGUUCUUGAUAUAUAUUGCAGUCCUUCUUGCCCUAUUAUUCUCGGUAGACCUUUCCUUAGAACGGUUGGUGCAAUUAUUGAUAUGAAGGAAGGGAAUAUUAGAUUCCAAUUUCCAUUAAAAAAGGGCAUGGAACACUUCCCUGGAAAGAAAAUAAAAUUACCAUAUGAAUCUAUCAUGAGAGCCACUUAUGGAUUGCCUACCAAAGAUGGCAAUACCUAGAUCUAGUCUUGUUUGUUAUGCCUAGCUAGGGGCGUUAAACGAUAGCGCUUGUUGGGAGGCAACCCAAUUUUAUUUUUAUUCCUUGCUUUUUGAUCCUGUCUAUUAAUAAAUAAAUUAUUUAGCCUCUGUUUUGGUUGUGUUUUUUGUGUUUAAUUAGUGUUUGUGCCAAGUAGAACCGUUGGGAAGACUUGGAGAAAGUCUUGUUGAACUUGCUGUAAAAAACAGAAACUUUAGCGCUCACGAGAAAUGCUGCCAUUUUUAUUUGGAGAGGGAUAUUUAGUUAAUUCUUUUUUAAGAUGAUUAAUAGAUAAAUUUCUCAUGUCCAACAAUUUAUUUUAGAAUUUUUGGGGUUCCAGAUCUUGCGCUAGCUGCAGAUUUCUACAUACUGUUCUGUUUUUGACAGAUUCUGUUUUUCGUGUGUUGUUUGCUUAUAUUGAUGAAUCUAUGGCUAAUAAAAUAGUUUAUAAAUCAUAGAGAAGUUGGAAUACAGUAGGUAUAACACCCAUAUAAAUAAAUAAUGAGUUCAUUACAGUACUUUGAAGUGGUCUUUUGUUUUCUUUCACUAACGGAGCUCACGAGAUUUUCUACUUUAAGUUUUGUGUUGUGAAGUUUUCAAGUUUUGGGUAAAGAUUUGAUGGAUUAUGGAACAAGGAGUGGCAAGAGCCUAAGGUUGGGGAUGCCCAUGGAACCCUCAAGAUAAUAUAAGGACACCUAAAAGCCAAAGCUUGGGGAUGCCCCGGAAGGCAUCCCCUCUUUCGUCUACUUCUAUCGGUAACUUUACGUGGAGCUAUAUUUUUAUUCACCACAUGAUAUGUGUUUUGCUUGGAGCAUCUUUUAUGAUUUGAGUCUUUUCUUGUUAGUCUACCACAAUCAUCCUUGCUGUACACACCUUUUGAGAGAGCCAAACAUAAUUUGGAAUUUGAUAGAAUACUCUAUGUGCUUCACUUAUAUCUUUUGAGUUAUAUAAUUUUGCUCUAGUGCUUCACUUAUAUCUUUUAGAGCACAGUGGUGGAUUUGUUUUAUAGAAACUAUUGAUCUCUCAUGCUUCACUUAGAUUAUUUUGAGAGUCUUAAUAGCAUGGUAAUUUGCUUAAUAAUAAUAUGCUUGGUAUUCAAGAUUUGUAAAACUUUCUUUUGAGUGCGUUGAAUACUAAGAAAAAAAAUUGAUGCUUGAUAAUUGUUUUGAGAUAUGAGGAUGGUAAUAUUAGAGUCAUGUUAGUUGAGUAGUUGUGAAUUUGAGAAAUGCUUGUGUUAAAGUUUGUGAUUCCCGUAGCAUGCAUGUAUGGUGAACCGUUAUGUGAUGAAGUCAGAGCAUGAUUUAUUUAUUGAUUGUCUUUCUUAUGAGUGGCGGUCGGGGACGAGCGAUGGUCUUUUCCUACCAAUCUAUCCCCCUAGGAGCAUGCGCGUAAUACUUUGCUUUGAUAACUUCUAGAUUUUUUCAGUAAGUAUAUGAGUUCUUUAUGACUAAUGUUGAGUCCAUGGAUUAUACGCACUUUUCUUCCUUCCACCAUUGCUAGCCUCUCUAAUACCGCUCACUUUUCGCCGGUAUCAUACACCCACCAAAUACCUUCCUCAAAACAGCCACCAUACCUACCUAUCAUGGCAUUUCCAUAGCCAUUCCGAGAUAUAUUGCCAUGCAACUUUCCACCGUUCCAUUCAUUAUGACACGCUCCAUCAUUGUCAUAUUGCUAGUAUGAUCAUGUAGUUGACAUCGUAUUUGUGGCAAAGCCACCGUUCAUAAUUCUUUCAUACAUGUCACUCUUGAUUCAUUGCAUAUCUCGGUACAUCGCCGGAGGCAUUCAUAUAGAGACAUAUUUUGUUCUAAGUAUUGAGUUGUAAUUGUUGAGUUGUAAGAAAAAUAAAAAGUGUGAUGAUCAUCAUUUUUAGAGCAUUGUCCCAAGUGAGGAAAGGAUGAUGGAGACUAUGAUUCCCCCACAAGUCGGGAUGUGACUCCGGACGAAAAUUUAAAAAAAAUAAAGAGGCCAUAAAAAAAAGAGAAGACCCAAAAAAAUGAGAGAAAAAGAGAGAAGGGACAAUGUUACUAUCCCUUUACCACGCUUGUGCUGCAAAGUAGCACCAUGAUCCUCAUGAUAGAGAGUCUCUCAUUCUGUCACUUUCAUAUACUAGUGGCAAUUUUUCAUUAUAGAACUUGGCUUGUAUUUUCCAAUGAUGGGCCUCCUCAAAAUGCCCUAAGUCUUCGUGAGCAAGCGAGUUGGAUGCACACCCACUUAGUUUCUUUAGUUGAGCUUUCAUAUACUUAUAGCUCUAGUGCAUCUGUUGCAUGGCAAUCCCUACUCACUCACAUUGAUAUCUAUUGAUGGGCAUCUCCAUAGCUCGUUGAUACGCCUAGUUGAUGUGACUCCGGACGAAAAUUUAAAAAAAAUAAAGAGGCCAUAAAAAAAAGAGAAGACCCAAAAAAAAUGAGAGAAAAAGAGAGAAGGGACAAUGUUACUAUCCCUUUACCACGCUUGUGCUGCAAAGUAGCACCAUGAUCCUCAUGAUAGAGAGUCUCUCAUUCUGUCACUUUCAUAUACUAGUGGCAAUUUUUCAUUAUAGAACUUGGCUUGUAUUUUCCAAUGAUGGGCCUCCUCAAAAUGCCCUAAGUCUUCGUGAGCAAGCGAGUUGGAUGCACACCCACUUAGUUUCUUUAGUUGAGCUUUCAUAUACUUAUAGCUCUAGUGCAUCUGUUGCAUGGCAAUCCCUACUCACUCACAUUGAUAUCUAUUGAUGGGCAUCUCCAUAGCUCGUUGAUACGCCUAGUUGAUGUGAGACUAUCUUCCCCUCUUUUUGUCUUCUCCACAACCACCAUUCUAUUCCACAUAUAGUGUUAUAUCCAUGGCUCACGCUCAUGUAUUGCAUGAAGAUAGAAAAAGUUUUGAAAAUGUCAAAAGUAUGAAACAAUUGCUUGGCUUGUCAUCGGGGUUGUGCAUGAUUUAAAUAUUUUGUGUGGUGAAGAUAGAGCAUAGCCAGACUAUAUGAUUUUGUAGGGAUAGCUUUCUUUGGCCAUGUUAUUUUGAGAAGACAUAAUUGCUUUGUUAGUAUGCUUGAAGUAUUAUUAUUUUCAUGUCAACAUAAACUUUUGUCUUGAAUCUUUUGAAUCUGAAUAUUCAUACCACAAUUAAGAAGAUUUACAUUGAAAUUAUGCCAAGUAGCACUCCGCAUCAAAAAUUCUGUUUUAUCAUUUACCUACUCGAGGACGAGCAGGAAUUAAGCUUGGGGAUGCUUGAUACGUCUCCAACGUGUCUAUAAUUUUUGAUUGCUCCAUGCUAUAUUAUCUACUGUUUUGGACAUAAUUGGGCUUUAUUAUCCACUUCUAUAUUAUUUUUGGUACUAACCUAUUAACCGGAGGCCCAGCCCAGAAUUGUUGUUUUUUUGCCUGUUUUAGGGUUUCAAAGAAAAGGAAUAUCAAACGGAGUCCAAACAGAAUGAAACCUUCGGGAACGUGAUUUUCUCACCGAAUACAACUCAGGAGACUUGGACCCUACGUCAAGCCAAUUAACAGGAGGCCACGAGGUAGGGGGGCGCGCCUGCCCCCCCUAGGUGUGCCAUCCACCCUCGUGGCCCCCCUGUUGCUCCACCGACGUACUUCUUCCUUCUAUAUAUAUCCACGUACCCCCAAACGAUCAGAAACGGAGCCAAAAGCCUAAUUCCACCGCCGCAACUUUCUGUAUCCACGAGAUCCCAUCUUGGGGCCUGUUCCGGAGCUCCACCAGAGGGGGCAUCAAUCACGGAGGGCUUCUACAUCAUCAUCCAAGCCCCUCCAAUGAAGUGUGAGUAGUUUACUUUAGACCUACGGGUCCAUAGUUAGUAGCUAGAUGGCUUCUUCUCUCUUUUUGGAUCUCAAUACAAUGUUCCCCCCUUUCUCGUGGAGAUCUAUUUGAUGUAAUCUUCUUUUUGCGGUGUGUUUGUUGAUACCGAUGAAUUGUGGGUUUAUGAUCAAAUCUAUGUAUGAAUAAUAUUUGAAUCUUCUCUGAAUUAUUUUAUGUAUGUUUGGUUAUCUUUGCAAGUCUCUUCGAAUUAUCAGUUUAUUUUGGCUUACUAGAUUGAUUUUUCUUGCCAUGGGAGAAGUGCUUAGCUUUGGGUUCGAUCUUGCGGUAUCCUUUCCCAGUGACAGAAGGGGCAGCAAGGCACGUAUUGUAUCAUUGCCAUCAAGGAUAACAAGAUGGUUUUUUUAUCAUAUUGCAUGAAACUAUCCCUCUACAUCAUGUCAUCUUGCUUAAGGCGUUAAUCUAUUUUUAACUUAAUACUCUAGAUGCAUGCUGGAUAGCGGUCGAUGAGUGGAGUAAUAGUAGUAGAUGCAGGCAGGAGUCGGUCUACUUGUCUCGGACGUGAUGUCUAUAUACAUGAUCACACCUAGAUAUUCUCAUAACUAUGCUCAAUUCUGUCAAUUCCUCAACAGUAAUUUGUUCACCCACCGUAGAAUACUUAUGCUCUUGAGAGAAGCCACUAGUGAAACUUAUGGCCCCUGAGUCUCUUUCUCAUCAUAUCAAUCUCCAUCACUUUAUUAUUGCUUUGCUUUUACUUUGCUUUUACUUUUUACUUUGCAUCUCUAUACCAAAAAUACCAAAAAUAUUAUUUAUCAUCUCUAUCAGAUCUCACUUUCAUAAGUGACCGUGAAGGGAUUGACAACCCCUAAGCGCGUUGGUUGCGUUGAACUAUUGUUUUUGUGUAGGUACGAGGGACUCGCACGUAGCCUCCUACUGGAUUGAUACCUUGGUUCUCAAAAACCGAGGGAAAUACUUACGCUACUUUGCUGAAUCAUCCUCUCCUCUUCGGGGAAAUACAACGCAGUCCUCAAGAGGUAGCAUACAACAUCUAAAAGGGAAAUUGGGACGUUGAUAAAGAGACGCAUCUUAAAUUCGCAAUAUUAUGAUGAUCAUUGAAUAUACUAAAAAAUGUACUAAAGCAAAGACAAGUAAUAUGGAUCGAAGAGAGCAUAGUGAGUUGCCUCUUAAUCGAAUCUCUUGUAACUAGAUAUAAAUAUACGACGAAAGAUAUUGUUGCUAAAAGACCAUCUCUUGAUUAAUUCUCUCCUCCACCCCAACAUUUAUUAUUGUGACAUUUCUAAGAUAAUACGUAUCAUUGCACACCCCCUUAGGUCAUCUCCGAGGAGAAAUCUCACAUGGGCACCCUCAAAUGUCGCGGAAACGUCCGGUUAUGUCUCCGGACAGUCGGUCAGACUCUGACCAAAUAAGGCUAUAUCUGAAAACUCUCCUACUUAUCUGUCCCUUCCCCUUCACUUCUUUUUGUUCACUAAAUCAAUUUCUUCCAUGUUCAACAUUCAAUAGAAGUUUGACGACGCAUAUAACACUUGCAAACAAAAACAAGCGAAACAAAAGCACCGGAUGCCCAGCAAAAAUAGCAAUUACUCGAAAGAAAAUCACGACCGGACGAGCGUUAGCGACUCGAUGAACAUGUAGUCCUUGUUGAGGUCAACGGUGAUGUACGGUGGAGGGUGGCCGGAGGUGAAGGAGGCAACAGAGUGUUGUCGCAAUUGUUGCAAGCCAGGUUCACCAUACUUCUGGGCAGCGAAGUAGUAUGACGCUUUGUACUAGGCGGGCCAUGGUGGCGAUUGCCCCAUCUAAACCGACAAGGUGGUCCGUUGUGGAGGAGGAGCUCCAGCCUGAACGGAUGCCUGCAUCUUAUUCUUCACCCUUCGCUUUAUGCAGCUCUCUUGUCAUUUAGUAGUCUCCGGAUUCACCGGUGCGGCGCGCGUGGCGGACGUGCUCUGGGUUUGAAGGGGCGAUGAACCUCGUGAUGGGCUUUGGUGGAUCCAUCGUGGCGGUGACGAAACAGACAGGAUGAGGAUGUUCGAAACGGAGAAGAUGGGGUUUUGGCGAGAAAAUAGUAGGAUCCGACACCAAGAGUUAUGUUCAUCGCACGCCAUGAUAUACUAAUAGCUGGCUCAACCAACGUGCACCAGCGGCAUCUACUUGAGCCAGCAUGAGGUAUAUGCACUGCUCUAGCUAACCUCAGAUAUUAUUUGUUUCUAUCGUCCUAACUGUCAGUGAUUAGCAGCACGAGCUCAAAGAGGGCAAAAUUUUCACCAUUAGCGGUAACGUAGCUUUGAGUCACGUGCACAAGUGGUAGGUACAUUUUUAGUGCAGUCGUAGGCCUAAUGUAAAAUACAUAUUUGGGGGCCCGGGGCGGCCGCCCCCGCCCCCCCCCCCCACCCCCCAAGGGCCGGUCCUGUUCAGACGCUGACCAAAUAAGGCUAUAUCUGAAAACUCUCCCACUUAUCUGUCCCUUCUCCUUCAUUUCUUUUUGUUCACUAAAUCAAUUUCUUCGAUGUUCAACAUUCAAUAGCAAUUUGACGAUGCAUAUAACACUUGCAAACAAAAACAAGCAAAACCAAAAGCACCGGAUGCCCAACAAAAAUACCAAUUACUCGAUAGAAAAUCACGACCAGACGAGCGUUAGCUACUCAAUUAACAUGUAGUCCUUGUUGAUGUCGACGGGGAAAUGUACGGUGGAGGGUGGCCGGAGGUGAAGGUGGCAACAGAGUGUUGUCGCGAUUGUUGCACGCCAGGUUCACCGUACUUCUGGGCAACGAAGUAGUAUGACGCUUUGUACUAGGCGGGCCAUGGUGGCGAUUGCCCCAGCUAGACCGACAAGGCGGUCCGUUGUGGAGGAGGAGCUCCGGCCUGAACGGCUGCCUGCAUCUUCUUCUUCACCCUUCGCUUUAUGCACCUCUCUUGUCGUUGGUAGUCUCCGGAUUCACCAGUGCAGCGCACGUGGCGGACGUGCUCCGAGUCCGAAGGGGCGAUGAACCUCGUGAUGGGUGCUACCUCUUGAGCACUGCGUUGGUUUUCCCUUAAAGAGGAAAGGAUGAUGCAGUAAAGUAGCCCAAGUAUUUCCCUCAGUUUUUGAGAACCAAGGUAUCAAUUCAGUAGGAGGCUACGCACGAGUCCCUUGCACCUGCACAAAACAAAUAAAUUCUCGCAACCAACGCGAUAAGGGGUUGUCAAUCGCUACACGGUCACUUACGAGAGUGAGAUCUGAUAGAUAUGAUAAGAUAAUAUUUUUGGUAUUUUUAUGAUAAAGAUGCAAAGUAAAAUAACAGGCAAUGAAAAUAACUAAGUGUUGGAAGAUUAAUAUGAUGAAGAUAGACCCGGGGGCCAUAGGUUUCACUAGUGGCUUCUCUCAAGAGCAUAAGUAUUUUACGGUGGGUGAACAAAUUACUGUUGAGCAAUUGAUAGAAUUGAGCAUAGUUAUGAGAAUAUCUAGGUAUGAUCAUGUAUAUAGGCAUCACGUCCGAGACAAGUAGACUGACUCCUGCCUGCACCUACUACUAUUACUCCACACAUCGGCCGCUAUCCAGCAUGCAUCUAGAGUAUUAAGUUCAUAAAAACAGAGUAACGCCUUAAGCAAGAUGACAUGAUGUAGAGGGAUAAAUUCAUGCAAUAUGAUAAAAACCCCAUCUUGUUAUCCUCGAUGGCAACAAUACAAUACGUGCCUUGAUGCCCCUAUUGUCACUGGGAAAGGACACCGCAAGAUUGAACCCAAAGCUAAGCACUUCUCCCAUUGCAAGAAAGAUCAAUCUAGUAGGCCAAACCAAACUGAUAAUUCGAAGAGACUUGCAAAAAUAACCAAUCAUACAUAAAAGAUUUCAGAGAAGAUUCAAAUAUUGUUCAUAGAUAAACUUGAUCAUAAACCCACAAUUCAUCGAUCUCAAUAAACACACCGCAAAAAAAGAUUACAUCGAAUAGAUCUCCACAAGAGAGGGGGAGAACUUUGUAUUAAGAUCAAAAAAGAGAGAAGAAGCCAUCUAGCUAAUAACUAUGGACCCGUAGGUCUGAGGUCAACUACUCACACUUCAUCGGAAGGGCUAUGGUGUUGAUGUAGAAGCCCUCCGUGAUCGAUGCCCCCUCCGGCGGAGCUCCGAAACAGGCCCAAGAUCGGAUCUCGUGGAUACAAAAAGUUACGGCGGUGGAAUUAGGGUUUUGGCUCUGUAUCUGAUCGUUUGGGGGUACGUAGGUAUAUAUAGGAGGAAGAAGUAUGUCGGUGGAGCAACAGGGGCCCACGAGGGUGGAGGGCGCGCCUAGGGGGUAGGCGCGCCCCUACCUCGUGGCCUCCUUGUUGGUUGCUUGAUGUAGGGUCCAAGUCUCCUUGAUCUUGUUCGUUCCAAAAAUCACGUUCCCGAAGGUUUCAUUCCAUUUGGACUCCGUUUGAUAUUUCUUUGCUUCGAAACCCUAAAAUAGGCAAAAAAACAAUUCUGGGUUGGGCCUCCGGUUAAUAGGUUAGUCCAAAAAAUAAUAUAAAAGUGUAAAAUAAAGCCCAAUAAUGUCGAAAACAGUAGAUAAUAUAGCAUGGAGCAAUCAAAAAUUAUAGAUACGUUGGAGACGUAUCAAGCAUCCCCAAGCUUAAUUCCUGCUCGUCCUCGAGUAGGUAAAUGAUAAAAACAGAAAUUUUGAUGUGGAAUGCUACUAGGCAUAAUUUCAAUGUAAUUCUUCUUAAUUGUGGCAUGAAUAUUCAGAUCCGAAAGAUUCAAUAUAAAAGUUUAAUAUUGACAUAGAAAUAAUAAUACUUCAAGCAUACUAACUAUGCAAUUAUGUCUUCUCAAAAUAACAUGGCCAAAGAAAGUUCAUCCCUACAAAAUCAUAUAGUUUAGUCAUGCUCCAUUUUCGUCACACAAGAAUGCUCUCAUCAUGCACAACCCCGAUGACAAGCCAAGCAGUUGUUUCAUAUUUUAGUAAUCUCAAAAUUUAUAAACCUUCACGCAAUACAUGAGCGUGAGCCAUGGAUAUAGCACUAUGGGUGGAAUAGAGUAUAAUGAUGGGGGUUAUGUGGAGAAGACCAAAAGGAGAAAGUCUCACAUCAACGAGGCUAAUCAAUGAGCUAUGGAGAUGCUCAUCGAUUGAUGUUAAUGCAAGGAGUAGGGAUUGCCAUGCAACGAAUGCACUAGAGCUAUAAAUGUAUGAAAUCUCAACAAAAGAAACUAGUGGGUGUGCAUCCAACUUGCUUGCUCACGAAGACCUAGGGCGCUUGAGGAGGCCCAUUGUUGGAAUAUACAAACCAAGUUCUACAAUGAAAAAUUCCCACUAGUAUAUGAAAGUGACAAAACAAGAGACUCUCUAUCAUGAAGAUCAUGGUGCUACUUUGAAGCACAAGUGUGAAAAAUGAUAGUAGCAUUGUCCCUUUUCAUUUCUCUUUUUUUGGGCCUUCUUCUUUUUUUGGCCUUUCUCUUUUUUUAUUGGGACAAUGCUCUAUUAAAUGAUGAUCAUCACACUACUAUUUAUUUACAACUCAAUGAUUACAACUCGAUACUAAAACAAGGUACGACUUUAUAUGAAUGCCUCUGGCGGUGUACCGGGAUAUGCAAUGAAUCAAGUGUGACAUGUAUGAAAAAUUAUGAACGGUGGCUUUGCCACAAAUACGAUGUCAACUACAUGAUCAUGCAAAGCAAUAUGACAAUGAUGAACGUGCCAUGAUAAACAGGAUGGUGGAAAGUUGCAUGGCAAUAUAUCUCAGAAUGGCUAUGGUAAUGCCAUAAUAGGUAGGUAUGGUGGCUGUUUUGAGGAAGAUAUAAGGAGGUUUAUGUGUGAAAGAGCAUAUCAUAUCAUGGGGUUUGGAUGCACCGGCGAAGUUUGCACCAACUCUCAAUGUGAGAAAGGGCAAUGCACGGUACUGAAGAGGCUAGCAAUGAUGGAAGGGUGAGAGUGCGUAUAAUCCAUGGACUCAACAUUAGUCAUAAAGAACUCACAUACUUAUUGCGAAAAUCUACAAGUCAUCAAAAACCUCGGCACUACGCGCAUGCUCCUAGGGGGAUAGAUUGGUAGGAAAAGACCAUCGCUCGUCCCCAACCGCCACUCAUAAGGAGGACAAUCAAAGAACACCUCAUGUUUCAAAUUUGUUACAUAACGUUUACCACACGUGCAUGCUACGGGACUUGCAAACUUCAACACAAGUAUUUCUCAAUUUCACAACUACACAACUAGCACAACUUUAAUAUCACUACCUCCAUAUCUCACAACAAUCAUCAAGCAUCAAACUUCUCUUAUUAUUCAAAACACUCAUAAGAAAGUUUUUACUAAUCUCGAAUACUUAGCAUAUUAGGAUUAUUUAAGCAAAUUACCAUGAUACUUAAGACUCUCAAAAUAAUAUAAGUGAAGCAUGAGAUAUCAAUAGUUUCUAUAAUACAAAUCCACCACCGUGCUCUAAAAGAUAUAAGUGAAGUACUAGAGCAAAACUAUAUAACUCAAAAGGUAUAAGUGAAGCACAUAGAGUAUUCUAAUAAUUUCCAAAUCAUGUGUGUUUCUCUCAAAAGGUGUGUACAGCAAAUAUGAUUGUGGUAAACUAAAAAUCAAAGAUUCAAAUCAUACAAGACGCUCCAAGCAAAACACAUGUUAUGUGGUGAAUAAAAAUAUAGCUCCAAAUAAAGUUACUGAUAGAAGUAGACGAAAGACGGGAUGCCUUCCGGGGCAUCCCCAAGCUUUGGCUUUUUGGUGUCCUUAUAUUAUAUUGGGGGUGCCAUGGGCAUCCCCAAGCUUAGGCUCUUGCCACUCCUUGUUCCAUAAUCCAUCAAAUCUUUACCCAAAACUUGAAAACUUCACAACACAAAACUUAAAGUAGAAAAUCUCGUGAGCUCCGUUAGCGAAAGAAAAGAAAAGACCACUUCAAGAUACUGUACUGAACUCAUUAUUUAUUUAUAUUGGUGUUAAGCCUACUGUAUUCCAACUUCUCUAUAGUUUAUAAACUAUUUUACUAGCCAUAGAUUCAUCAAAAUAAGCAAACAACACACAAAAAACAGAAUCUGUCAAAAACAGAAUAGUAUGUAGUAAUCUGUAGCUAGCGCAAUAUCUGGAACCCCAAAAAUUCUAAAAUAAAUUGCCGGACGUGAGGAAUUUAUCUAUUAAUCAUCUGCAAAAAGAAUUAACUAAAUAUCACUUUCCAAAUAAAAAUUGCAGCAGUUCUCGUGAGCGCUAAAGUUUCUGUUUUUUACAGCAAGAUUAACAAGACUUUCCCCAAGUCUUCCCAACGGUUCUACUUGGCACAAACACUAAUUAAAUACAAAAAACACAACCAAAACAGAGUCUAGAUAAAUUAUUUAUUGAAUUACAGCAAGGAAAAAUAUUGGGUUGUCUCCCAACAAGCGCUUUUCUUUAAAGCCUUAUAGCUAGGCAUUGAUAAUUUUAAUGAUGCUCACAUGAAAGACAAGAAUUAAAGCACAAAAGGAGCAUCAUAAAACAUGUGACAAACACAUCUAAGUCUAACAUACUUCCUAUGAAUAGGCAUCUUAUAGGCAAACAAAUUAUCAUGGCAAGCAAAAACUAGCAUAUGCAUGGAAGAGGAAAGAAACAAUAGUAAUCUCAACAUAACGAGAGGUAAUUUAGUAACAUGAAAAUUUUUACCACCAUAUUUUCCUCUCUUGUAAUAAUUACAUGUAGGAUCAUAAGAAAAUUCAACAAAAUAGCUAUCACAUAAAAUAUUUUCGACACGAUCCACAUGCAUGCAAAGUUGACACUCUUCCAAAAUAAUGGGAUUAACAUUAACUAAAGUCAUGACCAUUCCAAACCCACUUUUAUCAAAAAUUUCAUAAGAUUGAACAUUCUCCAAAUAUGUGGGAUCUAAAGUUGACACUAUUCCAAACCCACUUUCAAUAAUAUUGCAAACAUUAUUAUCAAUCUCAUAUUCAUCAUGGGGCUUAAAUAAAUUUUCAAUAUCAUAAGAAGAAUCACCCCAAUCAUGAUCAUUGCAACAAGUAGAGGACAUAGCAAAACUAGUAUCCCCAAGCUUAGGGUUUUGCAUAUUAUUAGCACAAUUUACAUAAAUAGAAUUUAUAAUAAAAUCAUUGCAAUCAUGCUUUUUAUUCAAAGAUCUAUCGUGAAUCGCUUCAUAAAAUAAUUCAUCACACUUUUCAGAUUCAUGAAUUUCAAGCAAAACCUCAUAAAGAUAAUCUAGUGCACAAAACUCACUAGCAAUUGGUUCAUCAUAAUUGGAUCUCUUAAAAAUAUUAGCAAGCGGGUGAGGAUCCAUAGAUCUUAGGUUCUCUAUUUAGUAAUAAAUAAGCAAGUAUUCCAACCAUACGAGCAAACAAGAAACGGGUAAAAAGAGGCAAAUAGAGAAAGAGAGGGAGGAUAGAGAGAGAGAGGGCGAAUAAAACGGGAAGGGUGAAGUGGGGAGAGGAAAACGCGAGGCAAAUGGAAAAUAAUGUAACGCGGGAGACAGGGGUUUGUGAUGGGUACUUGGUAUGUUUGACUUUUGCAUAGACCUCCCCGGCAACGACGCCAGAAAUGCUUCUUGCUACCUCUUGAGCACUGCGUUGGUUUUCCCUUGAAGAGGAAAGGGUGAUGCAGCAAAGUAGCGUAAGUAUUUUCCUCAGUUUUUGAGAACCAAGGUAUCAAUCCAGUAGGAGGCUACACGCGAGUCCCUCGCACCUGCACAAAACAAAUAAAUCCUUGCAACCAACGUGAUAAGGGGUUGCCAAUCCCUACAUGGUCACUUACGAGAGUGAGAUCUGAUAGAUAUGAUAAGAUAAUAUUUUUGUAUUUUAUGAUAAAGAUGCAAAGUAAAAUAAAAGGCAAUGAAAAUAACUAAGUGUUGGAAGAUUAAUAUGAUGAAGAUAGACCCGGGGGCCAUAGGUUUCACUAGUGGCUUCUCUCAAGAGCAUAAGUAUUUUACGGUGGGUGAACAAAUUACUGUUGAGCAAUUGACAGAAUUGAGCAUAGUUACGAGAAUAUCCAGGUAUGAUCAUGUAUAUAGGCAUCACGUCCGAGACAAGUAGACCGACUCCUGCCUGCAUCUACUACUAUUACUCCACACAUCGACCGCUAUCCAGCAUGCAUCUAGAGUAUUAAGUUCAUAAGAACAGAGUAACGCCUUAAGCAAGAUGACAUGAUGUAGAUGGAUAAAUUCAUGCAAUAUGAUAAAAAACCCAUCUUGUUAUCCUCGAUGAAAAAAUAUAAUACGUGCCUUGCUUCCCCUACUGUCACUGGGAAAGGACACCGCAAGAUUGAACCCAAAGCUAAGCACUUCUCCCAUUGCAAGAAAGAUCAAUCUAGUAGGCCAAACCAAACUGAUAAUUCGAAGAGACUUGUAAAGAUAACCAAUCAUACAUAAAAGAAUUCAGAGAAGAUUCAAAUAUUGUUCAUAGAUAAACUUGAUCAUAAACCCAAAAUUCAUCGGUCUAAACAAACACACUGCAAAAGAAGAUUACAUCAAAUAGAUCUCCACAAGAGAGGGGGAGAACUUUGUAUUGAGAUCCAAAAAGAGAGAAGAAUCCAUCUAGCUAAUAACUAUGGACCCGUAGGUCUGAGGUAAACUACUCACACUUCAUCGGAAGGGCUAUGGUGUUGAUGUAGAAGCCCUCCGUGAUCGAUGCCCCCUCCGGCGGAGCUCUGGAAUAGGCCCCAAGAUGGGUUCUCGUGGAUACAAACAGUUAUGGCGGUGGAAUUAGGUUUUGACUCCAUAUCUGAUCGUUUGGGGGUACGUAGGUAUAUAUAGGAGGAAGAAGUACGUCGGUGGAGCAACAGGGGGCCCACGAGGGUGGAGGGCGCGCCAGGGGGGUAGGCACGCCCCCCUACCUCAUGGCCUCCCUGUUGGUAACUUGACGUAGGGUCCAAGUCUCCUGGAUCUUGUUCGUUUCAAAAAUCACGUUCCUGAAGGUUUCAUUCCGUUUGGACUCCAUUUGAUAUUCCUUUUCUUCGAAACCCUAAAAUAGGCAAAAAACAACAAUUCUGGGCUGGGCCUCCCGUUAAUAGGUUAGUCCCAAAAAUAAUAUAAAAGUGUAUAAUAAAGCCCAAUAAUGUCCAAAACAGUAGAUAAUAUAGAAUGGAGCAAUCAAAAAUUAUAGAUAUGUUGGAGACGUAUCAAUGGGCUUUGGUGGAUCCAUCGUGGCAGUGACGAAACAGACACGAUGACGAUGUUCGGAACAGAGAAGAUGGGGUUUUGGCAAGAAAAUAGUAGGAUCCGACGCCAUGAGUUCUGUUCAUCGCACGUCAUGAUAUACUAAUAGCUGGCUCAACCAACGUGCACCAGCGGCAUGUACUUGAGCCAGCACGAGGUAUAUGCACUGCUCUAGCUAACCACAUAUAUUAUUUGUCUCUGUCCUCCUAACUGUCAGCGAUUAGCACCACCAACUCAAAGAGGGCAAAAUUAUCACCAUUAGCGGUACCGCAACUUCCAGUCACGUGCACAAGUGGUAGGUACAUGCAAUGGAUGUUGUGGUGCCGCGUUCUCUCCUAUGGUAGUUGGGACAUGUACAACAUCUAAAAGGGAAAUUGGGACGUUGAUAAAGAGACACAUCUUAAAUUCGCAAUAUUAUGAUGAUAACAUUAAAAAAUAUAGUCUCAUCGAGUAUACUAAAAAAUGUACUAAAGCAAAGACAUUAAUACGGAUCGAAGAGAGCACAGUGAGUUGCCUCUUAAUCGAAUCUCUUGUAACUAGAUAUAAAUAUACGGCGAAAGAUAUUGUUGCUAAAAGACCAUCUCUUGAUUAAUUCUCUCCUCCACCCCAACAUUUAUUAUUGUGACAUUUCUAAGAUAAUACAUAUCAUUGUACACCCCCUUAGGUCAUAUCCGAGGAGAAAUCUCAAAUGGCACCCUCAAAUGUCCCGAAAACGUCCGGUCAUGUCUCCGGACAGUCGGUCAGACGCUGACCAAAUAAGGCUAUAUCUGAAAACUGUCGUACUUAUCUGUCCCUUCCCCUUCAUUUCUUUUUGUUUACUAAAUCAAUUUCUUCGAUGUUCAACAUUCAAUAGCAAUUUGACGACGCAUAUAACACUUGCAAACAAAAACAAGCAAAACGAAAGCACCGGAUGCCCAACAAAAAUAGCAAUUACUCGAAAGAAAAUCACAACCGGACAAGCGUUAGCGACUCGAUGAACAUGUAGUCCUUGUUGAGGUCGACAGUGAUGUACGGUGGAGGAUGGCCGGAGGUGAAGGAGGCAACAGAGUGUUGUCGUGAUUGUUGCACGCCAGGUUCACUGUACUUCUGGGCAGCAAAGUAGUAUGACACUUUGUACUAGGCGGGCCAUGGUGGCAAUUGCCCCAGCUAGACCGACAAGGCGGUACAUUAUGGAGGAGGAGCUCCGUCCUGAACGGCUGCAUGCAUCUUCUUCUUCACCCUUCGCUUUAUGCAGCUCUCUUGUCGUUUGGUAGUCUCCGGAUUCACCGGCGCGCCGCGCGUGGCGGACGUGCACUGGGUCCGAAGGGGCGAUGAACCUUGUGAUGGGCUUUGGUGGAUCCAUCGUGGCACUGACGAAACAGGCAAGAUGACGAUGUUCGGAACGGAGAAGAUGAGGUUUUGGCGAGAAAAUAGUAGGAUCCGACACCAUGAGUUCUGUUCAUGUCACGUCAUGAUAUACUAAUAGCUGGCUCAACCAACGUGCACCAGCGACAUCUACUUGAGCCAGCACGAGGUAUAUGCACUGCUCUAGCUAACCUCAGAUAUUAUUUGUCUCUGUCCUCCUAACUGUCAGCGAUUAGCACCACCAGCUCAAAGAGGGAAAAAUUAUCACCAUUAGAGGUACCAAAGUAAUCCAGGAGUAGAUCACUAGACAGCGGUCAAGAACAUCCUGAAAUACCUGAAAAGGACUAAGGAUAUGUUUCUCGUAUAUGAAGGUGACAAAGAGCUCAUCGUAAACGGUUAUGUUGAUGCAAGCUUUGACACUGAUUCGGAUGAUUCUAAAUUGCAAACCGGAUACGUGUUUACAUUGAACAGUGGAGCUGUCAGUUGGUGCAGUUCUAAACAAAGCAUUGUGGCGGGAUCUACAUGUGAAGCGGAGUACAUAGCUGCUUCGGAAGCAGCAAAUGAAGGAGUCUGGAUGAAGGAGUUCAUAUCUGAUCUAGGUGUCAUACCUAGUGCAUCGGGUCCAAUGGAAAUCUUUUGUGACAAUACUGGUGCAAUUGCCUUGGCAAAGGAAUCCAGAUUUCACAAAAGAACCAAGCACACAUCAAGAGAUGCUUCAAUUCCAUCCAGGAUUUAGUCCAGGUGGGAGACAUAGAAAUUUGCAAGAUACAUACGGAUCUGAAUGUUGCAGACCCAUUGACUAAGCCUCUUCCAUGAGCAAAACAUGAUCAGCACCAAGGCUCCAUGGGUGUUAGAAUCAUUACUGUGUAAUCUAGAUUAUUGACUCUAGUGCAAGUGGGAGACUGAAGGAAACAUGAUCAGCACCAAGGCUCCAUCUCUUGCCUGUCUAUGUUUGAUUGUAGAUAGAUGGCCCGUGCUGUUGUUUCGUUGAAUUUUAAUACAUUCCUUGAGAAAGCAAAGUUGAAAGAUGAUGGUAGCAAUUACACGGACUGGGUCCGUAACUCGAGGAUUAUCCUCAUUGUUGCCCAGAAGAAUUACGUCCUGGAAGCACCGCUGAGUGCCAGGCCUGCUGCUGAUGCAACUGGCGACGUUAAGAACGUCUAGCAGAGCAAAGCUGAUGACUACUCGAUAGUUCAAUGUGCCAUGCUUUACGACUUAGAACUGGGACUUCAACGAUGUUUUGAACGUCAUGGAGCAUAUGAGAUGUUCCAGGAGUUGAAGUUAAUAUUUCAAAAGAAUGCCCAGAUUGAGAGAUAUGAAGUCUCCAAUAAGUUCUAUAGCUGCAAGAUGGAGGAGAAUAGUUCUGUCAGUGAGCAUAUACUCAAGAUGUCUGCGUACUACAAUCACUUGAUUCAACUGGGAGUUAAUCUUCCGGAUGAUAGCGUCAUUAACAGAAUUCUCCAAUUACUUCCACCAAGUUACAAGAGCUUCGUGAUGAACUAUAAUAUGCAAGGGAUGGAUAAGACAAUUCUCGAGCUCUUCGCAAUGCUAAAGGUUGCGGAGGUAGAAAUCAAGAAGGGGCAUCAAGUGUUGAUGGUCAAUAAGACCACCAGUUUCAAGAAAAAGUGCAAAGGGAAGAAGAAGGGGAACUUCAAGAAGAACAGCAAGCAAGUUGCUGCUCAGGAGAAGAAACCCAAGUCUGGGACUGAGUGCUUCUACUGCAAGCAGACUGGUCACUAGAAGUGUAACUGCCCCAAGUAUUUGGCGGAUAAGAAGGAUGGCAAAGUGAACAAAGGUAUAUGUGAUAUACAUGUUAUUGAUGUGUACCUUACUAGAGCUCGCAGUAGCACUUGGGUAUUUGAUACUGGUUCUGUUGCUAAUAUUUCCAACUCGAAACUGGGACUACGGAUUAAGCGAACACUGGCAAAGGACGAGGUGACGAUGCGCGUGGGAAAUGGUUCCAAAGUCGAUGUAAUCGCAGUCGGCACGCUACCUCUACAUCUACCAUCGGGAUUAGUAUUAGACCUAAAUAAUUGUUAUUUGGUGCCAACGUUGAUCAUGAACAUUAUAUCUGGAUCUUGUUUAAUGCGAGAUGGUUAUUCAUUUAAAUCAGAGAAUAAUGGUUGUUCUAUUUAUAUGAGUAAUAUCUUUUACGGUCAUGCACCCUUGAAGAGUGGUCUAUUUUUGAUGAAUCUCGAUAGUAGUGAUACACAUAUUCAUAAUGUUGAAGCUAAAAGAUGCAGAGUUGAUAAUGAUAGUGCAACUUAUUUGUGGCACUGCCGUUUAGGUCAUAUCGGUGUAAAGCGCAUGAAGAUACUCCAUACUGAUGGACUUUUGGAACCACUUGAUUAUGAAUCACUUGGUACUUGCGAACCGUGCCUCAUGGGCAAGAUGACUAAAACGCCGUUCUCCGGAACUAUGGAGAGAGCAACAGAUUUGUUGGAAAUCAUACAUACAAAUGUAUGUGGUCCGAUGAAUGUUGAGGCUCGUGGCGGAUAUCGUUAUUUUCUCACCUUCACAGAUGAUUUAAGCAGAUAUGGGUAUAUCUACUUAAUGAAACAUAAGUCUGAAACAUUUGAAAAGUUCAAAGAAUUUCAGAGUGAAGUUGAAAAUCAUCGUAACAAGAAAAUAAAGUUUCUACGAUCUGAUCGUGGAGGAGAAUAUUUGAGUUACGAGUUUGGUCUACAUUUGAAACAAUGCGGAAUAGUUUUGCAACUCACGCCACCCGGAACACCACAGCGUAAUGGUGUGUCCGAGCGUCGUAAUCGUACUUUACUAGAUAUGGUGCGAUCUAUGAUGUCUCUUACAGAUUUACCGCUAUCAUUUUGGGGUCAUGCUUUAGAGACGGCCGCAUUCACGUUAAAUAGGGCACCAUCAAAAUCCGUUGAGAUGACGCCUUAUGAACUGAGGUUUGGCAAGAAACCAAAGUUGUCGUUUCUGAAAGUUUGGGGCUACGAUGCUUAUGUGAAAAAGCUUCAACCUGAUAAGCUCGAACCCAAAUCAGAGAAAUGUGUCUUCAUAGGAUACCCAAAGGAAACUGUUGGGUACACCCUCUAUCACAGAUCCAAAGGCAAGAUAUUCGUUGCUAAGAAUGGAUCCUUUCUACAUAAGGAGUUUCUCUCGAAAGAAGUGAGUGGGAGGAAAGUGGAACUUGAUGAGGUAACAGUACCUGCUCCUCUAUUGGAAAUAGUUCAUCACAGAAAUCGGUUUCUGUGACGCCUACACCAAUUAGUGAGGAAGUUAAUGAUGAUGAUCAUGGAACUUCAGAUCAAGUUACUACUGAACCUCGUAGAUCAACCAGAGUAAGAUCCGCACCAGAGUGGUACGGUAAUCCUGUUCUGGAAGUCAUGCUACUAGAUCAUGAUGAACCUACGAACUAUGAAGAAGCGAUGGUGAGCCCAGAUUCCGCAAAAUGGCUUGAGGCCAUGAAAUCUGAGAUGUCAUCCAUGUAUGAGAACAAAGUGUGGACUUUGGUUGACUUGCCCGAUGAUCGGCAAGCAAUUGAGAAUAAAUGGAUCUUCAAGAAGAAGACUGACGCUGACGGUAAUGUUACUGUCUACAAAGCUUGACUUGUUGCGAAAGGUUUUCGACAAGUUCAAGGGAUUGACUACAAUGAGACUUUCUCACCCGUAGCGAUGCUUAAGUCUGUCUGAAUCAUGUUAGCAAUUGCCGCAUUUUAUGAUUAUGAAAUUGGGCAAAUGGAUGUCAAAACUGCAUUCCUGAAUGGAUUUCUGGAAGAAGAGUUGUAUAUGAUGCAGCCGGAAGGUUUUGUCGAUCCAAAGGGAGCUAACAAAGUGUGCAAGCUCCAGCGAUCCAUUUAUGGACUGGUGCAAGCCUCUCGGAGUUGGAAUAAACACUUUGAUAGUGUGAUCAAAGCAUUUGGUUUUGUAUAGACUUUUGGAGAAGCCUGUAUUUACAAAAAAGUGAGUGGGAGCUCUGUAGCAUUUCUAAUAUUAUAUGUGGAUGACAUAUUGUUGAUUGGAAAUGAUAUAUAAUUUCUGGAUAGCAUAAAGGGAUACUUGAAUAAGAGUUUUUCAAUGAAAGACCUUGGUGAAGCUGCUUAUAUAUUGGGCAUCAAGAUCUAUAGAGAUAGAUCAAGACGCUUAAUUGGACUUUCACAAAGCACAUACCUUGACAAAGUUUUGAAGAAGUUCAAAAUGGAUCAAGCAAAGAAAGGGUUCUUGCCUGUGUUACAAGGUGUGAAGUUGAGUAAGACUCAAUGCCCGACCACUGCAGAAGAUAGAGAGAAAAUGAAAGAUGUUCGCUAUGCUUCAGGCAUAGGCUCUAUCAUGUAUGCAAUGGUGUGUACCAGACCUGAUGUGUGCCUUGCUAUAAGUCUAGCAGGGAGGUACCAAAGUAAUCCAGGAGUGGAUCACCGGACAGCGGUCAAGAACAUCCUGAAAUACCUGAAAAGGACUAAGGAUAUGUUUCUCGUAUAUGGAGGUGACAAAGAGCUCAUCGUAAAUGGUUACGUUGAUGCAAGCUUUGACACUGAUCCGGACGAUUCUAAAUCGCAAACCGGAUACGUGUUUACAUUGAACGGUGGAGCUGUCAGUUGGUGCAGUUCUAAACAAAGCGUUGUGGCGGGAUCUACAUGUGAAGCGGAGUACAUAGCUGCUUCGGAAGCAGCAAAUGAAGGAGUCUGGAUGAAGGAGUUCAUAUCCGAUCUAGGUGUCAUACCUAGUGCAUCGGGUCCAAUGAAAAUCUUUUGUGACAAUACUGGUGCAAUUGCCUUGGCAAAGGAAUCCAGAUUUCACAAGAGAACCAAGCACAUCAAGAGACGCUUCAAUUCUAUCUGGGAUUUAGUCCAAGUGGGAGACAUAGAAAUUUGCAAGAUACAUACGGAUCUGAAUGUUGCAGACCCAUUGACUAAGCCUCUUCCACGAGCAAAACAUGAUCAACACCAAGGCUCCAUGGGUGUUAGAAUCAUUACUGUGUAAUCUAGAUUAUUGACUCUAGUGCAAGUGGGAGACUGAAGGAAAUAUGCCCUAGAGGCAAUAAUAAAGUUAUUAUUUAUUUCCUUAUAUCAUGAUAAAUGUUCAUUAUUCAUGCUAGAAUUGUAUUAACCGGAAACAUAAUACAUGUGUGAAUACAUAGACAAAUAGAUUGUCACUAGUAUGCCUCUACUUGACUAGCUCGUUGAUCAAAGAUGGUUAUGUUUCCCAACCAUAGACAUGAGUUGUCAUUUGAUUAACGGGGUCACAUCAUCAGGAGAAUGAUGUGAUUGACAUGCCACAUUCCGUUAGCUUAGCACCCGAUCGUUUAGUAUGUUGCUAUUUCUUUCUUCAUGACUUAUACAUGUUCCUAUGACUAUGAGAUUAUGCAACUCCCGUUUACCGGAGGAACACUUUGUGUGCUACCAAACAUCACAACAUAACUGGGUGAUUAUAAAGGUGCUCUACAGGUGUCUCCAAAGGUACUUGUUGGAUUGGCGUAUUUCGAGAUUAGGAUUUGUCACUCCGAUUGUCGGAGAGGUAUCUCUGGGCCCUCUCGGUAAUGCACAUCACUUAAGCCUUGCAAGAUUGCAACUAAUAAGUUAGUUGCAGGAUGAUGUAUUACAGAACGAGUAAAUAGACUUGCCGGUAACGAGAUUGAACUAGGUAUUGAGAUACCGAUGAUCGAAUCUCGGGCAAGUAACAUACCGAUGACAAAGGGAACAACGUAUGUUGUUAUGCGGUUUGACCGAUAAAGAUCUUCGUAGAAUAUGUAGGAGCCAAUAUGAGCAUCCAGGUUCCGCUAUUGGCUACUGACCGGAGACGUGUCUCGGUCAUGUCUACAUAGUUCUCGAACCCGUAGGGUCCGCACGCUUAACGUUACGAUGACAGUUAUACUAUGAGUUUAUAUGUUUUGAUGUACCGAAGGUUGUUCAGAGUCCCGGAUGUGAUCACGAACAUGACGAGGAGUCUCAAAAUGGUUGAUACAUGAAGAUUGAUAUAUUGUAAGCCUAUGUUUGUAUAUCAGAGGUGUUUCGGGUGAAAUCGGGAUUUUACCGGAGUACCGGGAGGUUACCGGAACCCCCCGGGAGGUAAAUGGGCCUUAGUGGGCCUUUACGGAGAAGAGGAGAGGCGGCCAGGUGUAGGAUCGAAAGUAUGUCUAGAGGGGGGUGAUUAGACUACUUGACCAAAUAAAAACUUAACCUUUUCCCAAUUUUAGUUCUUGGCAGAUUUUAGCUAUUUUAGGACAAGUCAAGCAAUCAUCACACAAUUCAAGCAAGCAUGCAAAGAGUAUAUUGGCAGCGGAAAGUAAAGCAUGCAACUUGCAAGAAUGUAAAGGGAAGGGUUUGGAGAAUUCAAACGCAAUUGGAGACACGGAUGUUUUUCCCGUGGUUCGGAUAGGUGGUGCUAUCCUACAUCCACGUUGAUGGAGACUUCAACCCACAAAGGGUAACGGUUGCGAGAGUCCACACAGGGCUCCACCCACAAAGGGUAACGGUUGCGUGAGUCCACAUAGGGCUCCACCCAUUAAGGGUCCACGAAGAAGCAACCACCCACAAAGGGUCCAGGAAGAAGCAACCUUGUCUAUCCCACCAUGGCCAUCGCCCACACAGGACUUGCCUCACUAGCGGUAGAUCUUCACGAAGUAGGUGAUCUCCUUGCCCUUACAAACUCCUUGGUUCAACUCCACAAUCUUGUCGGAGGCUCCCAAGUGACACCUAGCCAAUCUAGGAGACACCACUCUCCAAGAAGUAACAAAUGGUGUGUAGGUAAUGAACUCCUUGCUCUUGUGCUUCAAAUGAUAGUCUCCCCAACACUCAACUCUCUCUCAUAGGAUUUGGAUUUUGUGGAAAGAAGAUUUGAGUGGAAAGCAACUUGGAGAGGCUAGAGAUCAAGAUUCAUAUGGUAGGAAUGGAAUAUCUUGGUCUCAACACAUGAGUAGGUGGUUCUCUCUUAGAACAUAUGAGUUGGAAUGGUGUAUGCGUUCUGAUGGCUCUCUCUUCGAAUGAAGAGGAGGUGGAGGGGUAUAUAUAGCCUCCACACAAAAUCCAACUGUUGCACACAGUUUUCCAAUCUCGGUGGGACCGAAUCAACAAACUCGGUCGGACCGAAAAUGUAAACCUAGUGACCGUUAGAGAUUUUCGGUGGGACUGACAUGCAACUCGGUAGGACCGAUAUGGUUAGGGUUUGGGCAUAACGUAAUCUCGGUGAGACCGAUUACACAAACUCGGUGAGACCGAAUUUGGUAAUUAGCUAACCAGAGAGUUGGUCAGGCAAACUCGGUGGGACCGAUUUGCUCUUUCGGUGAGACCGAAAAGUUACAAAGGGGAAACACUGAAUUUACAUUGCAAUCUCGGUGGGACCGAUUCGCUCUUUCGGUGAGACCGAAAAGUUACGAAAGGGAAACAGAGAGUUUGCAAUCCCAUCUCGGUGAGACCGAGAUCCCUAUCGGUAGAACCGAAUUGCUAGGGUUUGGUAGUGGCUUAUGACAAGUGAAACUCGGUGGCGCCGGAUAGGAAGAAUCGGUAGGACCGAGUUUGGCUUAGGGUUUAGGUCAUAUGUGGAUAUGGGAAAGUAGUUGAGGGUUCUGGAGCAUAUCACUAAGCACAUGAAGCAAGAGGCUCAUUAAGCAACACCUCAUCCCUCCUUGAUAGUAUUGGCUUUUCCUAAAGACUCAAUGUGAUCUUGGAUCACUAAAAUAUAAAAUGAAGAGUCUUGAGCUUUUGAGCUUGAGCCAAUCCUUUGUCCUUAGCAUUUUGAGGGUUCCACUUUCACAUCCAUGCCAUGCCAAUCAUUGAGCUUUCUUGAAAUAAUCAUCUUGGAAUAGCAUUAGCUCAAUGAGCUAUAUGUUGUUAUGAAUUACCAAAACCACCUAGGGAUAGUUGCACUUUCAAUCUCCCCCUUUUUGGUAAUUGAUGACAACAUAUAGAUCAAAGCUUCGACAAAUGAUAAUAAGCAUGAAAUAUAUCGUCGCUUUGAGAAGUAUGUGAUAAGUAAGAGCUCCCCCUAAAUUUGUGCAUAUUUAAAAUUUGCUUUGGACUGCAAAUGCACAAGGAGUUAGAGCCAUGGGUUACUCUUCCAUGUCACAUACAUCUUGGUGGAGCGCUUAAAAUGAUAAGAAUGAAAUACAUGCACUCAUCACCAAGAAUAGUGAAUGAUCACAUAAGAUAGAUAAGAUAAUAACAUUAAUCAAACAUUAAGUGUAGCUUAUGAUCAAACACCUGAUCAUCAAUGUCUCACGAGCAUAGUAUCUCAAGCACUCAAACGCAAACAAGUUCGAAAAAAAACACCAAAUAAAGCAAGAGAGAAAAGCAACACUCUCUCUCUCGAAGCCUAUGAUCUAUACAUUUUUCUCCCCCUUUGGCAACAAUUUACCAAAAAGUUCCUAGAAAAUGCAUAGUGCUAGAUCGACGCUCAGGCUUCAUCUUCAGGUGGUGGUGGAGUCCGGAUCACUCCAAGGACGAAGGCUUUUGUAGAUGCUGAAGUAGACGCUGGAGUUGGAGCUGAAGUAGAUGCUGGAGCAGGUUGGGCUGGUGCUACGGCUGGAGCUGAGGCAGUUGCUCUUGUGUCAGGAACUGGCACUGCAGACGACCUCGGACCUCGUGGCACUCUGGCAAAGGCAUCAGUGGUUAUCUUCCCUUUCCUCUCCUGCGUAUCGUCUUGAAGCUGCUCCACUGCAGUCUGAAUUUCUAUCACCUUGACAUCCAAGUCAUAGAACUUUUGUUCCAUGAUUCUCUCUAGGCUUGCCUGGUUUUGAGUUAGGGUGGCUAGUCCUUUCUCAAUCCGUAGGGUGGAUGCAAUCAGGUAACCAAGCUGCUCUUGUUUGGUUUUCAAGAAAUACUCAGAUGCCUCCUCUUGAGUUGGCAUCUUGGCAGCUUUCUCCUUCCUUGCCUUCUCCUUCUUUACUUGUGCUUGAACUGAUGAUGGCUCAUUCUCAGUCAUUACAACUUGAUUGUCCUCAAAAUCUGGACGGAUGGGCAGGUGUUCCUUGUCCAAUAAAUAUAUGCCUGUGCCCAUCUUAGAGUUGAUGAGCUCCUGAAUUUGAGGGGCAUAACCACAACUCCUCUUCUGAUCUGCUGCAGUCCUCUUGAUAGUCUCUACUAUGAGGCUCAUGACCUUGAAUUUCUGUGGCACAUCAAAUACAUGUAGCAAGUUGAUUGCAUGGCCUCUGAUCAUCUUGUGAUCUCCAGACUUGGGCAAUAAGGUGUGCCUCAAUAUCCAAUUGAUGGUUGGCAGCCCUGACAGAAGAUAAUGCACUGAGCCAAAUUUGAAAGUGUCAAGAGCUUCAUUGGGAAUUUCCUUGUACAUGUUGGACAUUGAGUUAUGAUCCAUUUUCUUCUUGGCAUAGAUAUCCAAGUCAUCUGCUUGCUCCUCUGGGGCAUUGAUCAACUUUGCCCAUUCCUCAACAGUUGAUUGGUACCUCGUACCCUCAGACAUCCAUGUGAUCCUCCCAUCUGGAUAAAAGUGUGCCGUGGAGUAGAAUUUCAUGAUGAGCUCCUCGUUCCACUUUGUGAGCUUCUGCCCAACAAAGUCAGCAACUCCACAAGCACUAAAGCUGUCAUACACUCUAGGGUAGUGUUCCUCAUUUUCCUUUAUGUAGUCCCAAUCGACCCAUCUCAUGUCACAGACUAUUGGCUUCUUGUCUAGCAGCACUGUCUCAUAAAAAUCUUGCUGCUCCUUGGUGUGAAACCUGUAAUCCACAGCAGUCCUUCUCCUUGAAGCAUACGGAUCUGCUUCUCUCCACUUCCUCAGCCCUGAGUCUCUCCUGAGCUUCAUAUCCUCAGCCACAGGAUGAGCGUCGUUAUGGUCUGGGAUCUUGGGCUUGAGCUUUCUCAGAAUUUGCUCUUCAUCCUCUUCUUCAGCAACAGUCUCAGGCACUGGGGCCUUGUUCUUCUCAGCUACAGGAAUGCUCCUUGUAUUCCUCUUUGGUGCAGACUUGGGCUUGGAGGCAGCUUUGGGUGCUUCUUUGGGCUUAGAUGCAGCAGCCCCUGUCCUGAUAGCAUCACCCAUAAGCUUAGGUGCUUUAGGUGCUGGUGCAGCAACCUCUUCUUCCUCUUCCUCUUCCAUAAUGGAAGCCUUCCCAAGCACUCUGGCUACGGUCUUCUUGACCCUUUCCUUCCUCUUCUUGCCUUCUGCAGCAACUGGCUCUUUGGGUCCAGGCUUUUCAGUUGAAGCUCUAGCCUUUGACAUAGGCUGCCUGCCUGCUGGCCUUUUGAUCUUUAGACCUAGCUUUGUGCCUUGAGCUGGCUCAACUCUCUUUGAUGUGGCCUCUUCUUCUGCCACAUAAUCUUCAUCUUCAGAAUCAGAAGUUCUCUUCUUCCUUUGUCUAGUGGCAGCUUUUGGCAGAUUGCUUGGGGUACUUCUGCUGCCAUCAUCUGAAGAGCUGGAGGGGCUAGUGCCCUCACUCAUCUGCACUUGCUCUUCUGACAUGUUUUGGCUAUCACUUUGAUCAGACAUGCUGUAAACUCUGACUGCUGACCCUGUGAAUAGUUUAUAGAUGAGGUAGAAUGGAUGAGUAUCACAAAAUGCAGAGAUUUUUGCAAAAGAAUGAUCCAAAAACUUAGUUUUAGUUUCCCACUGAAAUCAUCUCGGAUCUACCGAUUUUCAAACUCGGUGAUACCGAAGCAGUUGUGGAACCUAAACUAGUGAACUCGGUUGGACCGAGUCACAGUUCGGUGACACCGAGACUGCUAGGGUUUCACAAAAUUCCAAAAUCGGUCACACCGAUAAGUAAUUCUCGGUCAGACCGAGUCUCACUUGUGCAAUGGCAUAAGCCAAAUCGGUGGGACCGAGUUUUUCAACUCGGUGGGUCCGAGAUGGUUUCGGCGGAAACCUAACCCUAAAAUUUUCGAAUCAAACCUAAUCUACGAGCGUAUUGACUGGAUAGGAGUGUUUCAAUCGUGGCAAGAAUCAUGAUGAUCACAAUGUGCUAAGAAUCGGAUUGGGGAAUAGCACAAAGAUCGAGUCCAUACCCUAGUUCGGCGAAGACUCGCUACGGCGGCAACGGCGGGGCAGAAUUCCCGUUGACGGCGACGGAGACCAGCGACUGGAGGCGGCUGGCGGCGAGGAGACGAUCCGGAGACCACGUUGGCAGAGCAGGCUAUCGCGCGGGCAAAGGAGUUCGGAGAAAUUUCCAAAUUUUGCCCGUGACUAUAUAUAGCCCGACCCUGUCGGUGUGACCGAGUGGAACAACUCGGUGGCACCGAGAUUCAUAACUGCAAGCAGUUACUGAAACUCGGCGUGACCGAAAGGUUCAAAUCGGUUGCACCGAGAUCGAAAACCUAGAUCAACUUAGUGAUCUCGGUAGGACCGAAAGUGGGGUAUCGGUCAGAUCGAGAAUCAUAAAGAGGUUUUGGAAGUUUAAGUCUAUGACGAAUCGGGGACUCCGAGCGCUCCUCACACAGAGUGGUUCGAAUCUGACUUGAUCAAAUUUUGUGAUGCAGCAUGAAUAGAGUUUGAGACGAGAAAAGCAUAGAUAGCUAGAGGAGGUUCUUAGGCAUUCUUGUCCAUCCACUUGGCAAAAGAAAAUAAAACCAAACAAUCAAAACAACAAGUGGAUGUCCUCGAAUGAGUAAAAUAUGCAACCAGCAUGCUCACACAAUAAGAUGGCAAAUGAAAUAUGUGACAAGGCAUGCACAACCAAUUCUAGCAUCUAUCAAGCAAUUUGCGAUGACUAGGUCAUCUAUAUAUGAGUAUAUUGACUUAGGAGUCAAGUGAGAACACUUGAUCAUAGGUCAUACUCAUCGCUUAAGCUCAAGUGGGGUUACCACUUUUACAUAAAGCAUUGUUGUGUUCACAUCUUUAGAGUUGCUUUAGCUCAAGUCUUAGAGUAAAGCUCCCCCUAGAUGUGAUACCCCCCCUAAGAGGGAUGAACUAACCUUGGGUUUUGUCGAUGAUGACUUCAUGUAGAUGUUGAAGAUGUGGAUGCUCAAUGUUGAUGUAGAUCACUUGGAGCUAUCCAUUUGAGUGAAUUGCACUUUCAAUACCUACAUGGGUUAGUCCCACAAGGAACAAACAAGGAUAUCCAUAGACAUAGAGUGAUGCACACACAAGAUGAUGUCCAUGAAAACUUUUAGGUUACCUUGUCCCUUGUCUUACCAACAUGAGGGUUUGUGACUCCUUGAACUAGUGCAAGAUGUGGAAGUUGAUUGCACUUGUUCUUGCCAAAAUGAUAAGAGUGAAGUGUGUUGGCGGAGUCACCCUCAAGGACUCUCUAGUUCUUCUUCUUUUGGAUCCACAUCAUCUUGAUGGGAAUCCUUGGAGUUAUAGUCGUACUUGAUGAAGUGGAACUUGAAGUAGUCUUGGGAAUCCACUUGACUAAGGUCUUAGAAGCUUCUUCAAAUGCGUCAAUUUCCUCUUGAAGCUUGUCCUUGCCUUUUUGCUUGUAGUCUUGUGGUGGAAGAUCAUCUUGAGCUUGUGUCCCCUUGAAAGAAGUAUCAUACUUCUCUUGUUGAGGAACAAACUUUGUCUUGGGGUAUUGAUCUUCUUCCCACUCAACUCCAUUGGCAUUGAACUUUCGUUCAAAACCAACACCUUGAUUCUUCCAGUGCAUUCCUUGCUUGCGCACAAUUUCCUCUAAUUGCUUACUCCCAGCAAGGCUUUUGUACACUCAUUUCUCUAUAAUUCCCUUCAAUAAGCUAUUUUCUUGCUCAAGUGUAACUUGGCUAAGAGAAUCAUUAGUGGAAUCAAGAGAACUACUAGAAGCAACAAUAUUGGAUUUAGCAUGAUCAUUGUUACUACUAGAGGAAGAAUCUUUCUUGUUCUUGUUACUAGACUUGACUUGAGGCAUGUAAGUGGAUAAGAGUAAAUGCUUGGCAAUGUGAGAAGAACUUUUCUUGCGGAGAUCAUCAUUGAUUGCUUUUAAGAACUCAUGCUCUUGCUCAAGAUUGAGCUUUUCAAAGCGUAAUUUCUCAUGAGCUCUUAAAAGUUCUCGAUGAUCUUCGAAGAUAGUUUCAUGGGCUAACUUAAGAGUGUUUAGUUCUUUAGUUAGGGCCUCAAUCUUCUCCUUAUCAUUGUCAUUCGUUUUAUCUUGAUUAGCAUGUUUAAUUGACGUUUCAUCAUAGUAUUCAUCACUAGAGUUGUCAACAAGCAAAUCAUCACCUAACAAGUCAUCUUCAUCACUAUUGAAAUCAACAUACUCGGGGUGUGUUACCUUAGGACCUUUGGCCAUGAAGCAUCUUCCAAUUCCUUCAUUUGGUGAGUCAAAUAUGUCGUAGGAGUUGGUUGACACAAGUGCUAGACCAGCAACACCUUCAUCUUGAGUAUCUUCGGAGUCGGAGUGAUAACUUCUCUCAGAGUGGCUGUCGGAGUCGGAGCCGGAUACCCAUUCACCAACAUGAGCUUGAUGUCUUCGUCUUGUGUAGCUCCUUGAUGAUUUUUCCUUUCUUUCCGAAUCCUUGCUUCUCCGUGAGUAUCUUCGUUCAUAACGAUCAUCUCUACUCCUUCUCUCUCUUGGUGGUGAUUCUUUGCUUCUUCUUUUUGGAGAAUCUUCUCUUCUCUUGUAGGGAGCCGUACACUCAUUGGAAUAGUGUCCGGGUCUUCCACAACUGUAGUAGUUUCGCUCUCGACUAGAAGAUCUUUUGUCAUUGUAGGACCUUGACUUGAAGCUUCUAUCUUUGCUUCUACUCUUGUAGAACUUGUUGAAGUUCUUCACCAUUAAGCUCAAUUCUUCAUUGAAGUCCUGUUUCUCACUUGAUGAUGUAGGGGCUUCACAUGAGGCUUUAUAGGCACCACUUGAUUUGUUGUGAAGUUCCUCUUUAUCCUUAAGUGACAUCUCAUGAGCAACAAUUCUUCCAAUCACCUCCGUUGGCUUGAGAUCUUUGUAAUUGGGCAUCAUUUGGAUCAAUGUGCACACGCUAUCAUAUUUUCCAUCCAAGGCUCUUAGAAUCUUCUUGAUGAUGAAUCUAUCGGUCAUCUCUUCACUUCCUAAGCCGGCAAUCUCAUUUGUGAUGAGAGCAAGCCUAGAGUACAUUUCAGCGAUACAUUCACCAUCCUUCAUCUUGAACUUGUCAAGUUGGCUUUGAAGCACAUCCAACUUGGAUUCCUUGACGGAGUCGGUACCUUCGUGCAUAUCAAUCAAAGUGUCCCAAAUUUCCUUAGCAUUCUCAAGACGGCUGAUUUUGUUGAAUUCUUCGGGGCACAAUCCGUUGAAGAGAAUAUCACAAGCUCGAGCAUUGUAUUGCAACAUCUUCAACUCAUCCGCGGUAGCUUCACGGUUUGGUUCUUUCCCAUCAAAGAAGUCACCUUGCAAACCAACACACACAAUAGCCCAAACGGCGGGGUUAUGUCCAAGAAUAUGCAUUUUCAUUUUAUGCUUCCAACUAGCAAAAUUAGUACCAUCAAAGUAGGGACCUCUACGGUGAUAAUUUCCCUUGCUAGACGCCAUACUCUCCUAGGUUGUGAAACUAGGCUAAUGACCACCAAAAGCUAUGGAGAUCAAAGCAAAUGAAGACCAAAGCUCUGAUACCACUUGUAGGAUUGAAAGUAUGUCUAGAGGGGGGUGAUUAGACUACUUGACCAAAUAAAAACUUAACCUUUUCCCAAUUUUAGUUCUUGGCAGAUUUUAGCUAUUUUAGGACAAGUCAAGCAAUCAUCACACAAUUCAAGCAAGCAUGCAAAGAGUAUAUUGGCAGCGGAAAGUAAAGCAUGCAACUUGCAAGAAUGUAAAGGGAAGGGUUUGGAGAAUUCAAACGCAAUUGGAGACACGGAUGUUUUUCCCGUGGUUCAGAGAGGUGGUGCUAUCCUACAUCCACGUUGAUGGAGACUUCAACCCACAAAGGGUAACGGUUGCGAGAGUCCACACAGGGCUCCACCCACAAAGGGUAACGGUUGCGCGAGUCCACACAGGGCUCCACCCACGAAGGGUCCACGAAGAAGCAACCUUGUCUAUCCCACCAUGGCCAUCACCCACACAGGACUUGCCUCACUAGCGGUAGAUCUUCACGAAGUAGGCGAUCUCCUUGCCCUUACAAACUCCUUGGUUCAACUCCAUAAUCUUGUCGGAGGCUCCCAAGUGACACCUAGCCAAUCUAGGAGACACCACUCUCCAAGAAGUAACAAAUGGUGUGUAGGUAAUGAACUCCUUGCUCUUGUGCUUCAAAUGAUAGUCUCCCCAACACUCAACUCUCUCUCAUAGGAUUUGGAUUUUGUGAAAAGAAGAUUUGAGUGGAAAGCAACUUGGAGAGGCUAGAGAUCAAGAUUCAUAUGGUAGGAAUGGAAUAUCUUGGUCUCAACACAUGAGUAGGUGGUUCUCUCUCAGAACAUAUGAGUUGGAAUGGUGUAUGUGUUCUGAUGGCUCUCUCUUCGAAUGAAGAGGAGGUGGAGGGGUAUAUAUAGCCUCCACACAAAAUCCAACUGUUACACACAGUUUUCCAAUCUCGGUGGGACCGAAUCAACAAACUCGGUCGGACCGAAAAUGUAAACCUAGUGACCGUUAGAGAUUUUCGGUGGGACUGACAUGCAACUCGGUAGGACCGAUAUGGUUAGGGUUUGGGCAUAACGUAAUCUCGGUGAGACCGAUUACACAAACUCGGUGAGACCGGAUUUGGUAAUUAGCUAACCAGAGAGUUGGUCAGGCAAACUCGGUGGGACCAAUUUGCUCUUUCGGUGAGACCGAAAAGUUACAAAGGGGAAACACUGAAUUUACAUUGCAAUCUCGGUGGGACCGAUUCGCUCUUUCGGUGAGACCGAAAAGUUACGAAAGGGAAACAGAGAGUUUGCAAUCCCAUCUCGGUGAGACCGAGAUCCCUAUCGGUAGAACCGAAUUGCUAGGGUUUGGCAGUGGCUUAUGACAAGUGAAACUCGGUGGCGCCGGAUAGGAAGAAUCGGUAGGACCGAGUUUGGCUUAGGGUUUAGGUCAUAUGUGGAUAUGGGAAAGUAGUUGAGGGUUCUGGAGCAUAUCACUAAGCACAUGAAGCAAGAGGCUCAUUAAGCAACACCUCAUCCCUCCUUGAUAGUAUUGGCUUUUCCUAAAGACUCAAUGUGAUCUUGGAUCACUAAAAUAUAAAAUGAAGAGUCUUGAGCUUUUGAGCUUGAGCCAAUCCUUUGUCCUUAGCAUUUUGAGGGUUCCACUUUCACAUCCAUGCCAUGCCAAUCAUUGAGCUUUCCUGAAAUAAUCAUCUUGGAAUAGCAUUAGCUCAAUGAGCUAUAUGUUGUUAUGAAUUACCAAAACCACCUAGGGAUAGUUGCACUUUCAAUCUCCACGUCGUCGUGCUGACGAAACUCUCCCUCAACACUCGGCUGGAUCGGAGUUCGAGGGACGUCAUCGGACUGAACGUAUGCUGAACUCGGAGGUGCCGUACGUUCGGUACUUGAUCGGUCGGAUCGUGAAGACAUACGACUACAUCAACCGCGUUGUGCUAACGCUUCCGCUUUCGGUAUACGAGGGUACGUGAACAACACUCUCCCCUCUCGUUGCUGUGCAUCACCAUGAUCUUGCGUGUGCCUAGGAAUUUUUUUGAAAUUACUACGUUCCCCAACACCAGUCACGUGCACAGGUGGUAGGUACAUGCAAUGGAUGUUGUGGUGCCGCGUUAUCUCCUAUGGUAUUUGGGACAUGUACAACAUCUAAAAGGGAAACUGGGACGUUGAUAAAGAGACCCAUCUUAAAUUCGCAAUAUUAUGAUGAUAACAAUAAAAAAAUAUAGUCUCAUCUAGUAUACUAAAAAAUGUACUAAAGCAAAGACAAAUAAUAUGAAUCGAAGAGAGCACAGUGAGUUGCCUCUUAAUCGAAUCUCUUGUAACUAGAUAUAAAUAUACGGCGAAAGAUAUUGUUGCUAAAAGACCAUCUCUUGAUUAAUUCUCUCCUCCACCCCAACAUUUAUUAUUGUGACAUUUCUAAGAUAAUACAUAUCAUUGUACACUCCCUUAGGUCAUCUCCGAGGAUAAAUCUCAAAUGGCACCCUCAAAUGUCCCGAAAACAUCCGAUCAUGUCUCCGGACAGUCGGUCAGACGCUGACCAAAUAAGGCUAUAUCUGAAAACUCUCCUACUUAUCUGUCCCUUCCCCUUCAUUUCUUUUUGUUCAGUAAAUCAAUUUCUUCGAUGUUCAACAUUCAAUAGCAAUUUGACGACGCAUAUAACACUUGCAAACAAAAACAAGCGAAACGAAAGCACCGGAUGCCCAACAAAAAUAGCAAUUACUCGAAAGAAAAUCACAACCGGACAAGCGUUAGCGACUCGAUGAACAUGUAGUCCUUGUUGAGGUCGACAGUGAUGUACGGUGGAGGGUGGCCGGAGGUGAAGGAGGCAACAGAGUGUUGUCGUGAUUGUUGCAAGCCAGGUUCACCGUACUUCUGGGCAGCGAAGUAGUAUGACGCUUUAUACUAGGCGGGCCAUGGUGGCGAUUGCCCCAUCUAGACCGACAAGGCGGUCCGUUGUGGAGGAGGAGCUCCGGCCUGAACGGCUGCCUGCAUCUUCUUCUUCACCCUUCGCUUUAUGCAGCUCUCUUGUCGUUUGGUAGUCUCCGGAUUCACCGGUGCGGCGCGCGUGGCGGACGUGCUCCGGGUUUGAAGGGGCAAUGAACCUCGUGAUGGGCUUUGGUGGAUCCAUCAUGGCGGUGACGAAACAAACAGGAUGGCGAUGUUCGGAACGGAGAAGAUGGGGUUUUGGCGAGAAAAUAGUAGGAUCCGACGCCCCCCCCCCUCAAAAAACCUACUACAUUUACGGGAUUUCAAACGUCCGAACUGAUUCAAUCUGAUUUGGUAAGCCGCGUUGAAGCACUAAAAUUGACCGAUCCAUACUUUUGGGAUGGUUUGGGCGUCGGAGAUAUCAUGAACUCAGGCCAACUCUAUCGCAUGAUCUCGAACGAAUGUCCGUUUUAUCCGGAUUCUUUCUGUCUAGAACGACAAUGGAUGCAAAAACGGACACAUGUGUCCGGCUUUCGUUGGAGGCGCCCACCGCCACAGCCGACCCUAAAUUGUCCGCCCGCCACACCUCGUCCUCGCGCGCUCCGCCUCGCAAUGNNNNNNNNNNNNNNNNNNNNNNNNNNNNNNNNNNNNNNNNNNNNNNNNNNNNNNNNNNNNNNNNNNNNNNNNNNNNNNNNNNNNNNNNNNNNNNNNNNNNNNNNNNNNNNNNNNNNNNNNNNNNNNNNNNNNNNNNNNNNNNNNNNNNNNNNNNNNNNNNNNNNNNNNNNNNNNNNNNNNNNNNNNNNNNNNNNNNNNNNNNNNNNNNNNNNNNNNNNNNNNNNNNNNNNNNNNNNNNNNNNNNNNNNNNNNNNNNNNNNNNNNNNNNNNNNNNNNNNNNNNNNNNNNNNNNNNNNNNNNNNNNNNNNNNNNNNNNNNNNNNNNNNNNNNNNNNNNNNNNNNNNNNNNNNNNNNNNNNNNNNNNNNNNNNNNNNNNNNNNNNNNNNNNNNNNNNNNNNNNNNNNNNNNNNNNNNNNNNNNNNNNNNNNNNNNNNNNNNNNNNNNNNNNNNNNNNNNNNNNNNNNNNNNNNNNNNNNNNNNNNNNNNNNNNNNNNNNNNNNNNNNNNNNNNNNNNNNNNNNNNNNNNNNNNNNNNNNNNNNNNNNNNNNNNNNNNNNNNNNNNNNNNNNNNNNNNNNNNNNNNNNNNNNNNNNNNNNNNNNNNNNNNNNNNNNNNNNNNNNNNNNNNNNNNNNNNNNNNNNNNNNNNNNNNNNNNNNNNNNNNNNNNNNNNNNNNNNNNNNNNNNNNNNNNNNNNNNNNNNNNNNNNNNNNNNNNNNNNNNNNNNNNNNNNNNNNNNNNNNNNNNNNNNNNNNNNNNNNNNNNNNNNNNNNNNNNNNNNNNNNNNNNNNNNNNNNNNNNNNNNNNNNNNNNNNNNNNNNNNNNNNNNNNNNNNNNNNNNNNNNNNNNNNNNNNNNNNNNNNNNNNNNNNNNNNNNNNNNNNNNNNNNNNNNNNNNNNNNNNNNNNNNNNNNNCCGUCGCCCCGUCGUGGCCGCGUGGAGGUGGCCGCCGGCCGCAAAAGAAGAGAGAGGGAGAGAGAAAAAUGAGAGAGAGAAGGACAGGUGGGUUGGCAGCCGGGCCCAUCUGGUUCCAAUGACAGGUCGGCCGGGGGUCACAUGCAAAGGGACAGGGGUGGACGAGGACCACGCAGAAAACGUCCGGACGUGUCCGUUUUAGACCCUAACCCAGGGCAACUUUGCUCCGAGAAUGGGUCGAGGCGGACAAGAAACCGACAUUUUUUUAGGACAGGGUUAUGCGUUGGGACGUUUCGUAUGUUCGUUUUAUCUCAAACGGACAGCCCAAAUAAUUUGAGGUCGUGCGGUGGAGUUGGCCUCACGGUAGCCAGUAGCCAGGUCGCUGGACAAGUCUCGUCUGGAAGAGCGUGUGCUACUGCUGUGCUGGACCAAAACGAAAACCAGGAUGGGACGCGCGGACCACGCGGCGAAACGGUCAGGAUCCUCCCUCCGCCCCACUCCCUUUUAAGCCCCCCAUCCGCCCGUACUCGUCGGCGCCGUGCAGUUGAGUGCUCGCUGCUCCCUCCUCCCCCUCCGCGAAGAUUCUCCUUCGACCCCUGCCGAUCUCCAAGGCGACGUCGCCGUCGCCGUCGCCGCGCGCCAGAUCUCCUCCGCGCGCUCGCGGCGCGCCCUCGCCGCCUGCGCGAUCUGCCCGGUGAGUCCCCUUCCACCGCUGCCUGCUCCUAGAUCCGUGUCCUCGCCUGGAAUUCCGGUGGGGUUUCAGUUGCCGAGUGUACCAUUCCCGUGCGUGUUGUUCGCCGCGGCCAAGAAUUCGGUUGUGGUUUCACGUUGCGUGUAUUGGUUUGCCACUGCUGGACCUGGGGAUCGCGAUGAUGGGCGCCUGGUGAAAAUUGCAUUUGUCAGGGGUGGAUGUUCUUCUAUGCCUGCUGAUGGCUAUGGUGCCAGUUCAGUCAGUUCUCUACUGUUUUACUACUACUACUACUACUACUACUACUACUACUACUACUACUACUACUACUACAUAGCCUGCUGAUGGCUGUGGAGUUAAUAAUGUUUCCUCUAUUCUUCCUUCAUAGUUGGAGUAUAUCUGCUUUUAGUUUUAGUAGGAGGUGCCUUGUUUUCCUAGUAGUAACUUCGAUUAUAAGUUUGUAAGAAUAAUUACUGCUGGGCACAUUAAUAACACUAGCAGGUUUGGAUAUUUAUUUGCAGGCCAAGAUGGCGACCUAUGAGCCCAAGAACAUCCUCAUAACUGGUGCUGCGGGUUUCAUUGCAUCCCAUGUGGCGAACCGUCUAAUUAGGAGCUAUCCUCACUACAAGAUUGUCGUCCUCGACAAGAUUGACUACUGCUCCAACCUGAAAAAUCUCAACCCUUCCCGGCCAUCGCCAAAUUUCAAGUUUGUCAAGGGCGACAUUGCAAGUGCUGACCUGGUGAACUAUCUUCUCAUCACUGAGUCGAUUGACACCAUCAUGCACUUUGCUGCCCAGACUCAUGUGGAUAAUUCGUUUGGCAAUUCCUUUGAGUUCACAAAGAACAACAUAUAUGGCACCCACGUUCUCCUUGAGGCGUGCAAGGUUACUGGCCAGAUCAGAAGAUUUAUUCACGUCAGUACUGAUGAGGUGUACGGAGAAACUGAUGAGGAUGCUGUGGUUGGUAACCAUGAGGCCUCGCAGUUGCUUCCGACAAAUCCAUAUUCAGCUACCAAAGCUGGGGCUGAAAUGCUUGUGAUGGCUUAUGGGAGGUCUUAUGGUCUUCCUGUGAUUACAACCCGAGGCAACAAUGUGUAUGGACCAAAUCAGUUCCCUGAGAAGCUCAUCCCAAAAUUUAUCCUUUUGGCCAUGAAAGGCUUGCCCCUUCCAAUUCAUGGUGAUGGCUCUAAUGUCAGGAGCUACCUGUACUGCGAGGAUGUUGCUGAAGCUUUUGAGGUAGUUCUUCACAAAGGAGAGGUUGGACAUGUGUAUAAUAUUGGUACUGUGAAGGAGAGGAGGGUAAUUGAUGUGGCCAGUGACAUAUGCAAGCUAUUUGGCUUGGACACCGAAAAGGUCAUCAGGUUUGUCGAGAACAGGCCCUUCAAUGACCAGAGGUACUUCCUGGAUGAUCAGAAACUGAAGAAGUUAGGAUGGGCAGAGCGCACUACAUGGGAAGAGGGUUUGAAGAAAACAAUUGAAUGGUACACCAGCAAUCCUGAUUACUGGGGAGAUGUUGCCGGUGCAUUGCUCCCUCAUCCAAGGAUGUUGAUGACGCCUGGAGUUGAAAGGCAUAACUGGACUGAGGAAAUCAAAUCUCUUGCUUCUUCGCCAGCUGAAGCCAAGGAAUGUAGUACAGUACCUGCUGCAGCCACAUCCAAGAGCACCAGCAGUGUCCCUCAAAAGGCCACCUACAAGUUCUUAAUAUAUGGUAAGACUGGAUGGAUUGGUGGUCUACUUGGGAAGAUAUGUGAGAAGCAAGGCAUACCUUAUGAAUAUGGUAAAGGCCGCCUGCAAGAGCGCUCUCAGCUCUUGCAGGACAUUAGAAACGUGAAGCCGACUCAUGUUUUCAAUGCUGCUGGUGUCACUGGAAGGCCAAAUGUUGACUGGUGUGAGACCCACAAACAGGACACUAUCCGCACCAAUGUUGUAGGCACCUUGAAUCUUGCUGAUGUUUGUCGUGAGCAGGGGUUGCUCAUGAUUAAUUAUGCUACAGGUUGCAUAUUUGAGUAUAAUGCUGAACACCCUGAAGGGUCUGGAAUUGGUUUUAAAGAGGAGGACACACCCAACUUUGUAGGUUCAUUUUAUUCCAAAACCAAAGCCAUGGUAAGUUCAAAUAUUUUGUUUAUGAUGUGUAACACAUAUCCUUUUGCUUCUCGUGGAAACAAACUCAUUUGUUCAUACAUACAAUGCAGGUGGAAGAGUUAUUGAAGGACUAUGAUAAUGUCUGUACUCUUAGAGUCAGGAUGCCCAUAUCAUCAGACCUGAGCAAUCCUCGUAACUUCAUCACAAAAAUAGCCCGCUAUGACAAGGUGGUGAACAUUCCCAACAGUAUGACAAUUUUGGAUGAAUUGUUGCCUAUCUCUGUUGAGAUGGCGAAGCGGGAUUGUAGGGGCAUAUGGAAUUUCACCAACCCGGGGGUUGUCAGUCACAACGAGAUUCUGGAGAUGUACAAGGAAUACAUCAACCCAGACUUCAAGUGGACCAACUUCACGCUCGAAGAGCAGGCCAAGGUUAUAGUUGCACCCAGAAGCAACAACGAAAUGGACGCGUCAAAGCUGAAGUCCGAGUUCCCUGAGCUACUGUCCAUUAAGGAAUCUUUGAUCAAGAAUGUCUUUGAGCCAAACAGGAAGGUUUCUACUAAUUGAAGAUUCAUGUGACACAGGUCUGCUAGAAGCUAUUUCCAAUUAGCUAAUAUAUUUCAUGGUGGCAGCUGUGGUCAAUUCCAUUGUGGUAUAGCAGGCAUACAUAUUUACGAUUUUUUGUUACGCAUUACGUUUCACUUGAGAACAGAUCUUAAAAUCUAUGUAGUGGUGGAUAUGUUUGUUGGCCUGGUUAUCUAUGUGAACAGAUCUUAAAAUCUUGUUUCUAUUUAUCAGGUGCCUUUCAUGUGCAUGAUGCUGCGCUUGUGCAUUCUGUUUACGUGUUGUUUUUCUUGGUUUGCAUAUCUGAAGUUUGUAUUGGCAGACUCGACUUAUAUGUGUAGUUUUGUUGGUUCAUAUUUGAAGUUUGCAUCAGCUUCCAAAAACAUGUGCAUUCAGAAGCCCAGAGGGUUUGUCAGUUGAUGCACCCUGAUCAACUGUAAGCUCCUGUCGGCCGUCAAAAGCGACGUUUGAGUAUCACACGCUGAAUUAUUUGCUUGCAGUAGAUUAGUUUGACUUUUGAGUAUCACACGCUGAAAUAUUUGCUUGCAAUAGAUUAGUUUUUGGUGCAGGCUGACGGCGUUGCCAGAGCUUGUCUUUUCCUGCUCCACAAACAUAAUGAUCAUACCGACUGUUUCCAGAGUUCGAGGUUUCCAUAGAUCUGUUCCUGUUUUGUGUAAUCUUCUUGAUCUCUGGCUUUCCCCUUUUGCGCUUGAAACCUCUCUUGCUCGGGGGAUACCAUGGAGUGCGCGCAUGGGACGAGUGGGCUAUGUUUGGUCGUGUGGGAGAGAUUUCUCCGGGUUACAAAGCAUGGGUGCGAUUUUUCUUCGCACAUGCGAAUCCACGGAGGAAUUUCUCAGACACCAUUUGGCACUUCGGGGAUUAGGCUGGGCUCCGUAGCUGUCGUAUGCAAAUGGAAAGAGAACUAGAUAGAAACGAGGCAGUCUUCAACAGCCGGCUCAAAUUCACCAGGCAAUCGUGGAAACAUACUUCGGCUUCACCAAGCUAAUCCUUUUCUUUUACCCCUAAAAAAAGCUAAUCUUUUUUUAGGAAUCAUUUUUUGGACGAUGAUAACACCUGAACGUUUGGUCUUGGAAAGCGUCCCACAGCCCCAAGGGCGUCCCUAUGUCUCGCCUUCCGUGACUCGGACUCGCUGAAGGGGUGACCGAGAUGGUCCGGCCCACGCGCGUGGCAGCCAACAGGCUUUUUUUCUGUUUUUUGUUUUAGUUUUUUGCUUUAUUUUUGUACUUUUGUUUAUACUUUAAAAUAUUCUAAAUAUAUAUAUUACAAAAAACAUUUGAAAAAUAGUGAACGAGUAUUUAAAAAAUGUUGAAUGGGUAUUAGGCAAAUGUUGAAUAAGUACUACAAAAAUGUUGAACAAGCAUUUGAAAAAAUUUGAACGAACGUUCAAUAAAGGUUGAACAUAUAUACAAAAAAUGUUGAUCACUUGCUAAAAAAAUGAUGAUUUUUUUAUCAUGUAUAUAAAAAUGUUGAUCAAGCACCUGAAGAAAAUGUUAAUAAAAAAUUCGGGAAAUGUUAAACAUGUAUAGAAAAAAAAUGUUGAACAUGUAUUAAAUAAAUGAUGGAAAAAAAUUGAUCGUGCAUAUAAACAUGUCAAUCAAGCAUUUGAAAAUAAAUGUUGCACAAGUGUUUGAGAAAUGUUAAUCAAGCAUUUGGAAAAUGUUAAAUAUGUAUAGAGAAAAUGUUGACCAUGUAUUCAAAAAAUGUUAAUUUUAAUUUUAAAACUAUUAAUAGAGCAUUUACAAAAUAUUUAAAAUGUGCGACGAAACUGUAAAAAAUGUUACAAAUAUGUAGAAAAAUGUUAAUCUUGUAUUUGAAAAAUGUUAAAACCAUGUAUAAAAAAAUAUUGAUCAUGUAUUAGAAAAAUGUAUAAUUUGCAUUGAAAAAAUUAGAUGUGUAUUCGAAAAAUGUUGUUGACAUAUACAAAAGAUGUAGAAUGAUAAGCAAAAGAACAAAGAAAACCGAAAAUAGAAACAAAAGAAAUAAAAGGAAAAAAGAAAAUAAAAAAAAACGAAGUAACAAAAUGCAAAAAAUAAUGAAACAGAAUGAAAGAAAAAUUGAGAAAACCAAAAAAGAAACAAAGAAAACCAAAAAAAGAAACAAAAAAAC